AAUUGUUUGGACUCUUUUAUGUAAUUUUUCAUUUUGUAAUCUGAUCUGGUCUGCUGCCGAGUUUGGACAUUUUAUUCCUCCAUUUGAUAGUUUGAGCUGCAAUUUUAACUUCUUUUUUGCUACUCGUGCUUAUGAUGCUUCUGUUUUGCGUUGUCGAAUUGAGUGGAUGAUAUAUUAGGGAAUGUGUUGUUCUCUUUUUGUCAAACUAAAUAUGAGUGUAGAAGAAGCUGAUAUGCUAUCUUACGUAAACGACUUAUGAAGCUCGAAUUACUAAUCGAGCGAGCUCGAACUAGCUCGAUUAGAUGUUCGAGUCGAGCUCGAUUGUCGUGUGCUCGAGCUCGACUCGGCUAGUUUAACAGCUAAGGUAACAUGCAUCAAAGCAGGCUUAUUCUCUUAGUACUUUUUUUUUUUUUCUUUUUAUAAAACACAGGUGCAUUAACGCACGACAGAAGCACCCUAUCAAUCUAAGAUCCCAGCUUGCUUGUAGCUUUCGAUAGAGUCAACAAGAGUUUCUUCCACUGGCCUAUACCUCCAGCCCAGCCUCUCCAAUUUUUCUGAGCUAAUAUUCCAUCGGCUUUGAUCCUUCACCUCUAUAAGUCUGCGAAGAAAUGAGUUAUAUCAAAAAAAUAUGCAGACAACAUAAAUGGUUCUUGUAGAGACUCGUAGAUGCCACACUUUUGGAAAUGGAAAUCAUGACGGACAUGAACAAACAAGAAAAUCAGGACAAACGGGGUGUCUGAAAAAUGAGACAAUUAAUUUCAAAGAUGGUAAUCCACCUCUUAGGGUACUUGUAGUUGGCAUAGUUUUUCCUCAGAGUUUCCACCAUAUCUUUUGUCGUGGUGACGUGAGGUGAACAUAUGUACCGGCCUUCAGCUUCAGGUCUCCCGUAAACCAAAAGCAGUGCCUCGGCCACAUCACGCACAUCUACUGUGUUGUAGAAUUUGUUUUCUGUUUCUUCACAUCCGUCUGUGCAGCCAAGGAGUGAAACAAAAGAGCAGUUUAAUCUCAAAAAAGGAGAUGUUAUCUGUGCUAAUCUCUGAGUUCUUUACUGCAUAUAUGAAACCUACAAUCCCUUUGACAAAUAGUACAGCAAUAAAUUCAUGGGACUUUUGAAUUGCAAAGGACCUACAGGUCACAAUGUUAACCUUUUAUAUCUUCAACAAUGCUCCAAAGCAAAUCAAGCAAACAGUUGAAAGAUGCAACCUCUUCAGAUGUUAUGCCUAUUGUCUGUCUCAUCUUCCAUUAGGUCAAACUCACACAAUUUUCACAUCAAUAAAAUUUGAAUCGCUUGUGCAUGUGUCUGGAAAGAUUACAUUAGCACAAUUUAGUAUUUUUGGCAGCACUGCUCGUUUAAAUUUCCCUGCCAUCAAGCAGAAAAUUUAAUUCCAUUCCAACAGUAAAAGCCAAACACCACAAUCUUAGUUUUUUUUAGAUAACUUUGCAAGUUUUUAGAGCAUUGCCAAAAUCAUAAAACUAUCAGAAUGGCAGAUAGCUUACAGGUUUAGAAUCUGAAAACCUCAGCUGGCUUGAAGAUUAAAUAAAAAUGCCAAAAGACGGCAAAGCAGUUAUCUCCAUGAAUGUAGUUUCAUUCCUAGAAGGUCAACCGCAACCAGAUAGACGGAUUUUGUGAAAUUUUAUUGGCAUCAAUUCAUUGUGUAUCAUGUAAAUAACACUGGAAGCCAGAAGCAUAAAAAUGAUGGGUUACUUGGAAAAUUAGCUGAUCAACCACAUGAAGAAAUUCAAUUGUUUGACCUUUCAAGUACAAAAAAAGGAAAAAAUUGCUAAGCUUUAGAGGUCAUCUGAGUUCUAGAGUGACAUCCAUGCUCACUUAGGCACAAACCAAUAUCAAGGAGAAAACUGUAUCAUUUACGACCACUUCCAUGCAGAAGGUGAAAGAAAGAAAAAUAAAAUAUAACAUAACGGAAUAAGUUCUCCAAUUGACUACAAAGCACUAAUAAAUCACCUUUCAACAGCUUUAUAAGAGCCACACUGCUAGCAUUCACAUCAUGCUGAAGCAUGGGGCCGAGAACAAAGGAUGGGCAUACAGUUAAAACAUCAAGGCCAGUUUCUUUUGCAUAUUGUAAUGCCUCACUUUCAGCAACCGUCUUGGAGUAACAAUACCAGUUCUGGAGCAAUAUUAGUACUAGAUGGUCAGCCAGAAACAGAUAGUAGUUGCAAAAAUCUGAUUUCUCAGCAAUCUUAGAAACAGUAUGAAUAAGACAGUGAAUUUUCUGCACAAUUACAACACCAAGGUGCAACUGCAAAAAGUCAAAUUAUGUUGAUGCAUACAUUUGUUGCCUUGCAGUAUUCGCCGUCUGACCAACACUUCUCAUCUAUGAUUUCACCUUCAGGCAGAUUAGGACUCAUUACAACAGCUGCAGUAGAGGAAACAACUACAACGCGCUUGACAUUUGCUUCAGAACAAGCCUUCAGUACAUUAAGGGUACCCUUUACAGCUGGCUCAACAAGUUCAACCUGCAACAAAUCAUCAUGUUGGCAGAGGUACUAGCACUCAACUCUGCAUGCUAAACUGCUUGUUUUUGCGUAAAAUAUAUCCAGAUAGACAGCUAAGUAGUGUCAGUUAACCUGACAUCUUUAGAGUGAAUGAGUACAUAGUUAAAAGACUCAUGACUGCUUAUGCCUGUGAUUUAACUUGGUUACCAGCAUAGGUUAUUAUUAUAUGCAUUUAUUCACUCAUUUCAACAUUUGAAAAAUCCUUCCACGAAAUGAUAGAAAGACAAAGAGCCCCAGUGACUUCAUAAGUUUGUACAAACGCUUUAACAAGGUUCUAUUUUAAACGAUACCCAACUUUAGCUCAUGUUUGGCAAAACGCAAUAAAAUAUUAUCUGUUAUGACAAAAGCUGUCUCAUAAACAAAAGAUAUGUUAAAAAUGUUAUUCUGGGGAAACCAAAAGGAAGAAAUAUCAUAGCAAUUGAAACGAUUGAAAAUGGUCUUGCCUCAGGAUUGGGAACAGAGCCUGAAGGAACAGGACUAGCUACAUGAAAUACGCCAUCACAACCCCUGAUGGCUGCAGAAAUGGAGUUGUAAUCCAGCAAAUCAGCCUUAAAGAGUUUCAAAUUCUCAGCUGCUUUGUCAAGUUUCUUCAGAUGAACAUAUUUCUCAUCGUCUACAAAACAUACACAGCAAUGCCCACAUCAUCAAGUAACGAAGCACACAAUUCACAGCAGGUGCUUUUAUAUAUUUCUUCAAUUAAACAUAUUUCUCACCCUUCACAAAACAUUUACUGCAAUUCCCACUACAUCAAAUAGGAAACAGCCAAUUGACAGCAGGCAAAAAAUCAAUUGCGGUAUUAAAGGGAAUGAAACAAUCAUACAAUACCCAAAACAAAAACAAAAAAAAAAUGAGUAGUAAAUCAGGAAGGAAGGGUUAUGAGGAUGAAAUACGUACUGGGAUUUCUGAGGGUGGCAUGAACAGUAUAAUGGCGGGAAAGGAGUAGCUUGACUACCCAAGAUGCCAGGUAUCCCCCUGCUCCUGUAACACACACUGUCCUGUCCUUCUUAGCCUCCCACGCUGCCAUGUCUGAUUGCUUACCAGUAGCAGUAGCGGGAUUAGUAUUUUAGCACCAAAUUCACUAUAGACUGAUCAAGAAGGUGGGUGAAGUUCUAUUCUUUUCUUUUUUAUGAAUAUUAAUUCUUUUUUGGUUGGACAAGGCAGAGAUUUCGUCGAUUCUUAAAGAGGAGGACUGAAGAAGAGGGCGGUUGGAAGAGGAGGAGGAGGCGGAGGUGGUGGUGUUGGAAUUUUGAAUAGACGAGUCCUGUAUGUAUGAGCUAGCUGAUUCCAGCAGCCUCUGUCAAUACUAGGAGUAAUCAGCAGCUGGCAGGCUUGGGGGCUUAUAUAUAGCAGCAGACCAAUGGUCCUGUUGCGAUUUGCACGGCUCAUGGAAGACGUAUGGUUUCAACGCAGGGUUGGGCUGGGUUGGGUGGGGAAACGGUACUAAUGAUAAAUGUAUGUAUAAUGAAAUUUGAGAUAUUUCUAGCAAUCUGUUAGUAAAAUUUAUUUUUAUAAAAAAAAAGGAGUAAAGGAGCAUAAUAUUAUUAAGUUAUAGUAAAACUUGAUGCACAUAUCAAUAAAACAAGAUAUUCUGUGCAUUUGAAUACAAUAGUAUAAUAUGAUUUUACCAUUGUCGGAUGUUUAACAAAUUUAUUUAUUAAUGGAUAUUAAAGUGUUACAUUUUAUCUCAUAUUUUCCCAAUUUAUGACUCAGAUUUUAAAUUGAUUAACUCAUUAGAGAAUAAAAAACUCAUCCCGUUGCUAAAUUGGACAAGUGACAAAAACUCAUGUCCAUAAUGGGAUUUUACUUCUGACUCAAAUCCUAUAAUGCGAACCAAACCCCAAAUCACUCCAUUAUAACGGAAACACAAACUAAACUAUUUAAUAUUCAAAUCAAGUUCCGCUCAAUAACAGUUUGUUCGAAUUUGAUUCGCAAACUAAUCUAAUCAAGUUAGAAUAACAUUUUAUGUUUGAAAAAAUUUUUAACUGCAGCUCAAGCUUAGCUCAAUAAUCAUAAAAUUGGAUUUUAUAGAUAAAAAUUACUCGAACUCGACUCAAUAAAAAUUCUUUUGAACGUGACUUAGUAAAUAAAAAAGCCAAUCUUGAAUACUAUUUCAAAAUUCUUUAAAAUAAAUAACAAGAUACUUGGUUUGAUUAGACACAUUCACACCCCUGUUUUUCAUAUGCUCGAUAACAUAUAUUUUUGCCAUUGAAUUUUGGGACAUGUUUAUCAUUUUUUAAAAUCUUUUUUUUUUAUUUCUGGCUUUUAUAGGAAAAAAAAAACUAAAGGAUGUGUUCGGAUAGGAGACCGAUAAACUUUUCUCUCCCCCUCGCGCCUAAUUGCAGGUUAAAAGCAGUGUUUUGAAAACCGGACCGGACGGCCGGUUCGACCGGUUGGACCGCCAACCGGCCAUGAUUCCGGUCCGAUUCUAUGCUAUAGUUGACCAGGUUAGAAAACCGGUUAAACCGUGAAAACCGCCGGACCGGAUUGAACCGGCGGUUCUCGGUUUUCGAGAUUUCCCUUUUUUUUCUUUUUUUUUCUUUUUUUUACGUUUUGCAAAAUGCAGUUAUCAAGAUUCGAACUCAAGACUUUUGUAAUAGAAGACCAAUGUAGUAACCAUAGUAACCAUUGCACCAUCACAUCUUAUUAGUUUUUUUUGAUAACUUGUUUAUAUAAAACAAAAACUCAUAUUUCUUUUUGUCAUUUUUUUUACAAAAUCUAAUCCUCUCAUAGCUCUUUCUUUUUAAUCUUCAACACACACACACACACUCUCUCUCUCUCUCACUCUCUCCUCUUUUUUUUGUCACUCUCUUUUUAAUCAAACCACUUUAUUUUUAAUUUAUUGAUGUUUUCUUCCAUCUUUUAAUUUUAUUUUUGUCCAUUAAAUUGAAAAAGGUUAAAAAAGAAUUAUUUUUCUUUAACCCAAAUUAUUUAAUGCCACAACCACUCACUUUUAUCUCAUUUUUUAUUUCUUAUCAAGUUUGCAUUUCUAUUUUCGAUUCUCUUGACUUCUUUCGAACUCCAAAAUUCCUUUUUUAAAUUGCAAUUUCUAAAUCCCAAAACGUAAAUUAAAAUUUAAGUUCACAAAAUCUAAAUUCUCAUAGACAUGAAUUUUGUAUAAUUUUAAAAUAUUAUGAUAUUUUUGGGUUAGAUCUAAGAUUUUUUUGGUAGAUAUAAUUGAAAUUGAAAUGAAAUUUAUUUGUUUUAACUUAUAAUUUAAAAUUUUUAUUUUUAAAAAAUCAAGUUAUUCAAAAAUAGUAAACUUUUCAUCAUAUAAUGUAUUAAAUUAGUCCAUUACAUGUCUUAUUUUGUGCAUAAAUAUUUACAUAAAUUAUUUUUUAAAAAAUUCAUUGAACCGAGGUUGAACCGGUCCGACCGGUUAAAUCUCGACCCUUUCACGUCACCGGUUCAAUUAACGGUCCGGUUUUUAAAACAUUGGUUAAAAGGAAUAUCCAGUUCUUAGAUAACUUUUCUAGGCACAACUCUAGUUGUCAGAAAACUGGUCUACUUUGACUGUGGGUUUUCCUUUAGUCAGGCCAUUUUGUCAUUAGUGAUGAUUGCUUCUUCUAAACCUUGGCUAACUGCACACGCCAUGCGCAUGAAACUUCUUCUAAACCUUAGCUAACUGCACACGCCAUGCGCAUGAAAAUCCAAACUUCAAAUAAAAUAAUUUGAACUCGUCAACUUGCAAAAUAAGAUAAUUUGGGUUUCGUCUGAUAUGAGUAGUAAGGGAAAAUUUAAUUACUAUAUUUAUGAUUCUUGACUAAUGUGAUUGCUCAUCUAUCACCACGCAUCAGUUUAAUACCUUAUCUUCAUUUAAAUGUGACGAUUGUAGAAUUGAUGGCUGAAACUGAAAGGAAACUGAAAAAGAAAUGUCAUGUGAGUGCAUAUGCAUGGUUAAAACAAUACUCCCACAAAUUAUAACCAAUUCGAUCCCUUGUUUUUAAGGUUUUGAUCGUUUUGGUUCCUUGGUAUCAUGACAAGCCAAUUUUGCCUCUUAAAUUUAAAAAUAUGGUUAAGGAGAUCCUUUUGAUGGAAAUUUGAGUUGCUAAUGAAGUGAAGAGACCAUUUAGUGCCUUUCGUGUCACAUCCGUCUCAACACUAUAUUAAAGUUUCAAAAAAUCUCAAAUAAGUCAUAAAACUCAUAAAACAAACCCCAAAACUCUUUAUCGUGAAGAAAAUAAAUUUUUAUAACUUUAAAAUAAAUCAAACACAAUACCUUAAACAUAAUUAUGGAAUUUGUGCCAUUUUCGAGUUGAAAUAUCAUGAAAAGGAGUACCAAAAGGUGAAAGAAAAAUGCAUAAACUUAUGUUUGACAUAGUAUUAAAAACUUUUAUUUCAUUAUAUUGAAGAGUUUUGGGUGAGUUUAGGCUUUUAGGAUUUUAUUUGAAUGCUUGGUGUUUUCUGCGAGAUGGCACGAAGUACCCUCUAAGGUCUCUUAACUCCAUUAACAACUCUAAAUUAGCCUUGACCAAAUUCUUCAAAUUUAAGAAAAAUUGGUUCGCCAUAAUACAAAGGGACUAUUUUGUUAAUACAUUGGAGAUAAGAAACCAGAUUAAUUAAUUUUUGUUGUUUGCGUAACUCAAGGGAUUUCUCCGUUAGCUUCCCACAAUUUUGCUACAUUAGUCUCUUUUGAUGGAGAUAGAGCACCAACUCACAGUUGUAUUAGAACUUCACUUACGCUAUAAUCGUUAGGAUUUUCUUAUAUUCAUCCGACUACUCAAUAAGUAUCCUAUUUUAUAAUAACUAUCCUACACCUCUUCAAAGCCUGAUAAGAUGAAGAAAAUCUCUUUACUAGCAUCUUAAUGCCUUAUAUCCAGUAUUGAGGGAAAAAAUUUAAUCACAUUACAGUCUGAGAAUUUGAAUCCAGCAAUUUCACGGUCUGAUGUAGUCACCCCAAGUAGGUUCUCCAGUAAAACAGGGUAGUGAGGCAAAAUGUACAUCAAAUAGGUCAAUUGUUGAGCCCCUCGGGGUUCGGUUCCGUGGUUGUAGCCCCAGUUGGGGGAGAGCCACGUCCAGGGAUCGAGUCCCCGUUCUACCGUGGCUGGUGAUGCUUGAGGCGGGCCGCUCCCAGCCCGCAGUGGGAUUAGUUGGGCCGUACGGUAACCAGUCCAUGGGUCCAGAUACCCACUGUGAUGAAAAAAAAAAAAUAGGCCAAUUGUCGAUCUUUGAUUAUGUCUACACUUUCAAAAGAUAGGCUUAAUCAUAUUAGUGGAAAUAACUCAUAGUUCAUCAUAUAUUAAUUUGCUAUUCAAUUUAGUUUGAAUACAUGAUCAAUGUUAUUGUAUGCCAAAAAAGAUUGAGGAUACUUUUGACCUAGUUCUUUGCACUAACUUGAAAUCUUCCAAUUGUUCUUUCUUUGAUGCACUUGCAAAAUCUCCUGCAAAAGUAAAAUAACUCAGUUGGUGAAUUUUGGCUAACUGAGAGGCCCCAUCUUCUUUUUACUUCUUUAGCACAAGCGAAGAAUGAAUUUAUGCAUAAUAACCGUGUGAUUCUAAUGAGAUAUGAUUUUUUUGGUUUUGCAUGCUGGUUAAACAAUUGUUCAAGCUCUUAUCUUGGUUUUUGAUACUUCACCGGUAUGUGGAUGUUACUGCUAAAGAAAUUUACAUUUGUCAUUAGAAGAAUUUUCUAUUUUAUGACUGGCAAGUGAUUUGGUAUCUUAGCAGUUCAUCGAUUUUGGUGCUUUGUUUACAAUUUAAUUGGCUUCAAUGGUCCAUACAUAUAGGAACUUGGAAUUUACCCUUUUAUUUCCUUUUGCAUGAGCAAAGAUUAGUAAUUUUUAAUCAUAAUUUUCGAUUCCUCUAUUCUGGCCAUAGUGAAGAAAUCUACCUUUUUGUACUUGUGUAUAUGCACACCAAACAUCAUUGGGCUGUCUACUUUUGACAUUAUUCUUGAAUUACUCAGUUUAGAAUGUGUAUUAGCUGCUGGAAGCAAAUGCAUCAUCGUUGGCAAUUACCAAACAGAAAAUAUGCAUGCCAUUACUAUUUUCACUGAAAUUAGCAUCUAACUUAUAAUGAUCUAAUUAAAGGUUAACCACAUUGGUUUUGACUAGAACUAAGAGAUCACUAGCCCUCUUAUUUUUGGAUUUGCAUUAAUCCAGUAUCAUCAAACUUCUUCAAAUGGGCUCUUUAGCUACUAACCCCUUCAAAAAUAAUUUAGGCUUACGGUUCUGUUGAUGUCGCAAUUGCAGGAGGUUCAGAAGAUAACGAAAGGCUCAUCUAAGAUUUCUUAAGGUGUUUGGCUUAUAUUGCUAGAUUUACUUAAUCUAUUUUCAUUCUUCUCCGAUGUCAUUAUUGUUAAAGUUCAAUUCAUAAGUUGGUUGUGUUAGAAAAUUGGCUUAAUUUCUUUUUAGAUAGGUUUUUGUUUUGUGCAAAAGUAACUAGUUUCCUAAUUGGUUUUAGUUACUCGGAAUAGUAGCCAAGAAAUUUCUUAUUUUGUUUAGAAUUAGAAGUUAUUUCUUAUUUUCUACAAGUCUAGGAAUUAGAAUUAAUUUCCUGUUGUUAUUUGGAUUUUUUGACCAAAUAAUAUUUUUAUAAAUAGGUGGGUUGGCAUACUAUAAAAGAGACACAUAAGGGCACACAAGGACGACAUGUAACCUUAUACAUGGGUGGUGAGAGAGAGUUCUUAGGAGAUGAGAAAUGGUAUACAAAGGUUGGACUUGAGUUCGAGUUGUAUUCCUGUAUAAGGUUUUUCUCUCAUAAUAAAUAACAAGUUUCUCUCCGUGGACGUAGGUUCAAUGGAGUCAAACUACGUUAAAUAUUGUGUGUUGUUUAUUUUUUAUACUUGUGGCUUGUUUCUCAUUAAAUUAUUGUGUACUUGAUAUCUUAAUAGUUAUUUAUUCUGCAUUUAGUUCCUAACAAAUGGUAUCAGAACUUGAUUGCGAGAUUGGGCUGCUCACAAGCACUUGGAUCCCAACAAACUGAAUAGUUGGAUCAAGAGUUUGGUUGUUCAAGGAUGGAUCCUAGUUAGCUAUUGAGAUCAAGUAGGUUGGUGACUGUUACCAAUUGAACAAUUUAAUGGGCGGUAUCCUUAUUUCAAGAGUUUGGCAAAAAAGCAUUGACGGUGAAUGAUGAAAAGUCGAAAAGCAUGGAGAUACUUGACGGUGAAUCUAGGCAGAUGAUUCAAGAGUCAAGGAAAAUGUGGAAUCCAAUAUCGAUUUUGGACGUGAAUCGGUGGAGACUUUCUUACAACUUCAACGGUUGAUACUUCAUCUCGGUGAUUUUUAGAUUUCGCUUAUGUUUUUUGAGUGGUACGGCACGUGUCCCAAAAAAAUAAAGAGAUUUAAUUUCUAUGCGCUAGAAGACUCUGACAGUUACGAGUCUUUUGUUUCAGGUGAAUUUUUGGAAACCACACGUGGCGAGAUAGUCUUGAGGAAGGGAAGAAGUAUGAUGAUUUUAUCACUUGGUUGCCUCAAUGAUUAAGGUUAGAGCUCAUACAAGGAGAUUUUGGGUUGCAAGUGGUGGUGAGAAGAAAUCCUGUAAAGAAAAAUGGUGAAUUGAGGCAUCUUCUCACGAAUCAACUGGAGGUUGUACUAGGUGUAAAUACACAUAUUCAUUUGGCAAUUAAAUCAAUUUGGUAUCAGAACUGUAUUGAUUCGGGUGUGUAGUUCGGUACCAUAUUAUUUGGUAGUUGAAAGUAAAUAAUUGUUAAAAGAAAUUUUCGCCAAGAUAGAGAUUUGUUAGGAAAUUGAUUUAAUUUCUUUUCAGACAGGUUUUUGUUUUGUGUAGAAGUAACUAGUUUCCUAAUUGGUUUUAGUUACUUGAAAUAGUAGCCAAGGAAUUUCCUAUUUUGUUUAGGAUUAAAAAUUAUUUCCUAUUCUAUACAAGUCUAGAAAUUAGAAUUGGUUUCCUAUUAUUAUUUAAUUUUUUGGCCAAAUAAUAUUCUUUAUAAAUAGGUGGGUUGGCAUACUACAAAGAGACACACAAAAGCACACAAGAGACGACAUGUAGCCUUAUACAUGGGUGGUGAGAGAGGAUUUUUAGGAGAUGAGAGAUGGUAUACAAAGGUUGAAUUGGGGUUCAAGUUGUGUUCUUGUAUAGAAUUUUUCUCUUAUAAUAAAGAACGAGUUUCUCUCUGUAGAUGUAGGUUCAAUGGUGGAGCCGAACCAUAUUAAAAAAUAGUGUGUCAUUUAUCUUUCAUGUUUGUGGCUUGUUUCUCAUUAAAUUGUAGCGUACUUGAUAUCUCAAUAGUUGUUUAUUCCAUGUUUGGAUCCUAACAGACUGCUAAACCAAGAUUGAUGUAAUUGCGUCCUGUAAGAGAGUUUGCAAUUCAAUUGAUUAAGGGAAGAACAGAGAAAAUCCCUGAAAAUGGGAAUUAAAGGAAACAAAGGAAACCCUAAAACUAGUUUCCAAGAACAAUUCUGUCGAAGACAGAAAACAAAGAAAAUAGUAUCAAAGGCUAUAUCGUUAUUUAGGAAACAAGAAGCACUUGAAGGUGAAUGUUGCAGAAAGUAGAAGAUCCCACUACAAUUUACUAAUUCAAGGAGCUGUAAUUAAGAAAGAAAGAAGACAACUCAGAGAAUUAGGGAUUGUUAUUAAUUGAUGAAUGAGUAGGAAGAAUGUAGAUGAAGAUGAUAAUCAAUUACAAGUAAUGGAAAUCGGAAAUCCAAGAACUGCCUUCAACUUACCACCCUCCUCUCUUUUAUUCGGCUACUACACUUGUCCAAGUCAGCUAAUUCAUUACAACCAACCGACAUACAAGAAUUAUAAGGAUUUAUUCAUUAAGUCCCUAUCAUACUCGCUUUAUUACAAAAAAAAAAAAAAAAAAAAACCCUAUCAAUAAAACUAAGGUAACAAACAAUGUUUUCAGAACCGGACCGGACCGGCUGGUUCGACCGGUUGGACCGCGAACCGGCCAUGUCACCGGUCCGGUCUAAUGCUAAAGCCGGAAGUUCAUGGAGAACCGUUGAAACCCGGACGAACCGGACGAACCGUGCGAACCGUUAAGAACCGUGAACCGGCGGUUUUUUAAAUUCUUCAACAAAAUAUCAAGAAUGGUGUAGCUAAGAUUCGAACCUGGGUCUCCAAGUUUGGAUAUGACAAUCUCACCGCUAGACUGUAGUUAAAUUUGUUGAGAAUUCUACUUGACUAAAAAAUAUAUUAAAACAUCAAGUUCUUCUCUUAUUUUUUUUUCAAUUUUUUCUUCUUAACCAUUUUUAACCCAAAUAUCCACAACAAGAUUUUCUCAAGUCUUCACCAUUAUUAUCAGGUUAUUAUCUUUAGCAAAUUGUAAACAAGUUGAAAAUUUCAACUUUUCUUGUUUUCCAACAUCUUAGUAAGUUUAAUUUUUUUCUUUUCAAGGUUUUUUUUUCUAUAUUAUUAUCUUUAGUUGAUUUUUUGCAUUUUCUUCUUUUUCCCCUCAAUUUUCAUAUGUUUCCCUCAUUUUUGUUUUAUUUUUAUUCGAUUAAUUAAGGAUGAAAUUUUUGCAAAAGUAGUGCACAUUCGUGUAGGAAUUGGGUAGGAAUUACAAAUAAUAACAUUGGGCUGGUCAAAAAUAUGGUAGUUGGCACAUAAUCGAAGCUAUUGAUAAUUGAAUUUAAAAUAAUUAAUGGUAUAGGAUCAUUGAAUUUAAUAUAACAUGUUAAUUAGUAAUGUUUAGUAGCAAUUAAUUUUUUAUGUGUUUAACUGUAUAUUUGUUUUUCAAAAAUUUUUAGUUUUUUUUAGUUUGAGCAAUUAGAUUUAUAUUUUUAUAAUAAAAUUUUAACUUUUUCAUCUUAAGUUGAUGAAAUUGUGAAGGUGGUGUGGUUGCUUAUCAGGCCACUGAUAAAAGUUUGCUAUUCAAAUAGUUUGUCUUAACUUGAACUCUUUUAUGGAUUUUUUUAAGGGUUGUAAAAGAAUUUCAAUAUUUAAUUUAUUUAUUUUUUGUGUUUUUAUUUGUGAUAAUUGGUGAACAUUUGGAUUGUAUCUAUUUAUGUUUAUAAUGAAUUUAUGAAAACUUAUGGUGAAUUAUGAUAUUUUAAUUAUAUUUAUCAUUCCAUGUUUUAUGUAUAAUUUUUAGAAAAUUUAUUAUUAUCAUAACUUAAAUUAAGUUAUGUUGGUAAAGUUCAAGUGUAGAAUGAAACCUACUUAGUACUUAACAAAAAAAAAAAAAAAAAAAAAAAAACAGUGAACCUUUGAACCGGCCGGUUGGACCGGUCGGACCGGUCGAACCGCGAACCGGCCACCUCUCCGGUUCACUGACCGGUCCGAGUUUAAAAACAUUGGUAACAAAUACUUCCCCCUCAGAGAAUCCUUGUCCUCAAGGAUUAAAUUCAGGAAAUUGUUGUUUAAGGUCAAACCAGAAUUCCCAGAUAGCAUCUUCAAGAAAAGAAUUGCUUCACUAUGCCAAAACUUUUGUAGCAAGAGAGUUACCACAUUUCACCAAUUUCUGAUCAAGUAUGGCUAUAGGCUCCAUUAAUAAUUAUCCCUGUGUAUUGAUUGUGUAUUGAUUGCAAAAGGAAUGUGUGAGGUAACUAGUGAGUGCCCACUUUCUUCUUUAGAAGAGAUACAUAAAAAAUAGAGUGUAUUUUUGCCAUAUUAGGCAGCUAAAGCUGAUAUGCAACAGGGUGUACUCUUUUGAUCACUUGGAAAGGUCCAAAAAACUUAGAAGCUAACUUCUGACAAGAGUGUACCUUCAAAGAGUGUUGCCUCUACAGUUGUAGUUUCACAUAUACCCAAUCUCUUGCUGAGUACUGUCUAUCAGACCUGUGUUGGUCAGCUUGUUGCUCCAUCCUAUUUUGUGCCUUAUGAAGGUUGUACUUUAAGUGAUGCAAAACUAUCUCCCUUGCUGCCAAGAUUCUAUCCACCACUUCCACUACUGAAUUCCCAAGUAGACAAGGCAUAUGCAGAGAUGGUGCAUGACCAUACACCACCUCAAAUUGGAUAACCUUAGUGGCAGCAUGAAAUUUGGUAUUGUACCAAUAUUCAGCCAAGGGUAACUAGAUAGACCACUGCUUUGGAAAAUCUCCACACAUGCACCUCAAAUAUUACUCCAAACACCUGUUUACCACCUCAGUUUGACCAUCUGACUGAGGGUGGUAGGUAGAAGAGGUAUUAAUCUGCACUUUUAGUAACUUAAAAAGUUCUUGCCAAAAAGUGCUAAUGAAGACCACAUCCUUGUCACUAACAAUGCUCUGAGACAAGCCGUGAAGUCUACAGAUCUGAUCCAGGAAUAUGUGCAAAUAUAAAUGCUGAAUAAGCAUGUGACAAUGCCAAGAAGUGUGCAUACUUACCUAACUUGUCAACCACCACCAAGAUGGCUUGUUUACCAUGUGCAUUAGGUAAACCUUCCAUAAAGUCCAUGGAAAUUCACUCCAAACCUUUUGAGGCACACGUAAAAGUCGUAAUAAACCCAAAUCAGCAGUAUUGUCAUAUUUGUUGCACUGACAGACAUCACAUGCAGCCACAUAGUUGACUAUGUCUUGAUACAUUCUUCUCUAAUAAACCACUGACUUCAACUUCUUUUAGGCAGCAUAAACUCCUGAAUGCCUCCAACAGCACUAGAAUGCCACAAGUGAAUUAUAUUAUUCUUGAAUUGGCAGUCAUUUUCUACCACUAGUCUCCCCAUCCUCCUUAACUGCAAGUUGCUCCAUGUGUAAUAAGGUGAGACCUUAGAAAGAUCAAAUUGUAAUUGAGUGAUGAAGUUCUAUAGCCUUAUAUCUAUUUGCCAUCCCUUUUUAAUCACUAUCAAAGAUCACUGUUAACAAUGAUGAUGGCAAGAGCUUCUCUUGGUUCUGCUAGUUUUCUAAAGAGAGUAUCUCUCACCAUAUUAUAUGCUUCUUUCCUGUAGUGAAGCUCAUAAUAAAAUCUUACUAGCUUAGCCAUCCAUUUCUGCUGCAUAAGAGUAGGGCUGUCAAUGGUCCGGGUCUAGACCCGGACCCGAACCGGAUCCGUCAAAUUUAUUCGGGUAUGGGUAGGGAUUUAAUUCCGUUACCCGGACCCGGAUCCGGAUCCAUUUUGCCAAACAAAAAAACGGGUCGGAUACGAAAUAUAGUAUUCCGACCCGUAUUGGACCCGGAUCCGGAUAUAAAUGGAUUACUAAUUUAAAAUAUAUAUAUUUAUUAAUAUAAUUUGAUUAGGAUGAUGUAUUUGAGUAAUCAAUAUAAUUGGACCCGGAUCCUAAUCAAUAUAAUUUGAUUAGGAUGAUGUAUUUGAGUAAGGUUAAUUUGAUUUCUUUUCUUAUUUGAUUUUUUUUGUAUUAGUUAGAAAUUAGUUUAUAAAUAUAUGUUUUUUCUCAUUUUUGUUAGAAAUUAUAAAUUUUGUUAGUUUUUUUUCGGGUAGACCCGGAUCCGGAUCCGGGACCCGUCGGAUCUGGAUCCGGAACAUAGAGUAAAGACUCAUCGGGUAAACGAGUCGGGUCCGGAUCCGAUAUAGUGUGCCGGGUCCGGGUCUGGAAUAAUGAAUUCCGGCCCGGACCCAGCCCGUUGACAAGCCUACAUAAGAGUGUUCAAUCUUUGUUCCAUCAUAUAUUCAAUGCUCUAAUGGUCAUUUUUAAUGAUAACGUACCUUCCAGGUAGAUAAGGUCUCCACUUCUAUACAGCAGCAACUAUGGCCAAUAUUUGCACUUUUCCAAUAUACUAUCAUAUGCUAUUCCCCCACACACCUAAAUCUUACAUUGUCCCCAAUGUAAAAUAAAGAAUAAAAGAAAAUUAAUGGGGAUAACGAAACUUCCUUGAUAACUGAGGGGGCCGUCGACAGCUACAGGUGAGGGGCGAAUGACUGUGGAGCUCGACGUAUGUUGAUGGUUGGCGGCGGUGGAGUUCGGAUGGAAGAAAGAAAGAAAGAAGAAAGAAAAAGAAGAGAGAAAGAAAGAAAGAAAAAGAAAAGGAAAAAGAAAGGAAAAGGAAGAGAAAAGAAAAGGGAAAUACGAAUGGGAAUUGCUCCAAUCCGAGCUGGUUUUUUGUACUAUUACUUUGCUUCUUGUACGAAGCUUGAAGAUGCAGCAAGCGCGGAAAUUUUUUUUUUUUUACAUCUGAUUUUGAUUUUUUUCUUUUUCCUUUUCUGUAUUUCCUUUUCUUUUCUUUCUAAUUUUUCUGCAAAAACAAUCAAAUAGAAAUCAAAUGAGAUGGAAUGAUUUUUUUUAAAAAAAAGGUAAAAAUAUAAAUAGAGAUAAAUAAAUAAUAAAUAAAUAAUAAUAGUUAUUAACAAAUCAUAAAAUGAUUUAUGAAAUUUUUUUGGUGUCUACAUAUAUACACAUACUAAUAAUUUUUAUAUUUAUAUAUUUUUCUUAUUUAAUCUUACCUAUAAUUCUUUCUUAUUUUAUUUACUUUCUCUAAUUAAUUUUAUAUUUUUAAAAAUAUAACAUCUAAAAAUAUAUAUUAACGAAGAGGACAUCCGUUAGACAGGUCCUAUUUUAUGUAGCAUAUAUGUCUCUACAUGAAAAAAACUUUUUUAAUAGGUAUCCCGUUUUUUGACAUGAAAAAUACCUUUUGACUACAUUCUGACUAGCGCCAAAAGCUAUCCACUUUUGACAUGCUGCCCAUGGAGGCCUAAUUUUUUUUAGUACUGAAUUUGUUUUGGAUACGUUAGUAUUUCUUGAAUUUUAGAAAAUGCUUCUCUUUAAUAAAUGUAAGUUCAUUUUAAUCUUGAUUCGCAAGCUUUUUCUCGUAAAUGGUUUGCCAUUUCUUAUUAGUUGUUACAGUAAAUUUAACAUGCAUAUAUGCUUUUUGUCAAAAUUCAAUCAUUUCAAAAUCUAGAAGGGAACUUCUAAAAUACCUGCAUCCUCCUUUUUCUUUUUUCUUUUUUAUUUUUCCCCCUCUUGGCUUUGUAUUCAGAAUCAGAUUGUGUUCAAUUAGUUGGAAUUUGGCUUUGGAGUUAGAAGGGAUUUCCAUUUUUUCCUAGGUAUUCCACAGCUUGCAUACCAAAAGCACAGAGGCGGAAGAAAACCUAUGAUUAAAUCAUACAACAGGCUUGUAAGAAAAUGCCCACUUUGAAAAAAAUGAAAAGUUGAAUUUCCUAUUUUCAAAUUUACAUGCAAAAAAUGAAAAAUGACAUGCAAGAAAUAGUCUACUAUUUCGCAAUGUUUCAUAGUUAUGAGAAAUAUAUUACAAAUAAAUCCACAUAAAUGGUGGGAAUAAUAACUCAAAUAUGGUGGGACAAAUAAACAUACAGGGUGACCCCUGCCAGCUGAGAUAACUAGCUGGUUUAUUUAAUUUAAUAGUUUGAAUACAAUAGUAAAUCAAUGCCAUAGCUCAGAUACUGACUAAAUUUUUCUCCCUGAAGAAUUCAACAGCAUCUUUUAGGCUGACCUCCAAAGGAGUGAAUCCAACUCCCAACCUUUUUGCCUUCUCAUUGGAGGCUCUGUAGUUUGGGCUGAUAAGGUUGGUAUUGUUUGACAUUCUGCUGUAUGCGGGACAAUACACAAUUAUGGCAAACAUAAAUAAAGCUUAGGUAAUGAAAAUGCAAAUGUAAAUUCAAAUGCUUGAAAAUCUACUGGACAAUUGCCUCAUAUCUACUGUAAAUUGUGCCUUUUUUACGAAGUUUCAAAAGACCUUUUAAAAGAUAACUUUAGUUGUGAUAUGAAUGAAAUUUAUUUUUCUCUAAAAAAAAGCCUAAAACGGAAUUUCUAUUUUGGAGACAAAGCCAAUUUGGUGAUAUAUCCUAGUCCAAAGAAGACCAUCUUCUAGAAAUCAACCUGAGAAAGAGCUCAUUUUUUAUGGAACAUGAGACCAAAAGAAAAAAAAAAGAAGGCAGAAAAUUUAGGAUUUAGUGUCCUUUAAAAGAGAGUAUAAAAAUAUGUGAUACAUUUUGGACGUAUACAAGGCCAUCAGCAAAAGCCUGCAAAGACCUAAACAAGGAAAACAAGACUUACUUAUCAGGAAAUUGGUGAGUUGGGUAAUGCUCAUGCAAAAUCUUGAUGAUCUGAGAGGCAUUUGCACAUCUUUCAACCAGACAAUAUCUUCCACUUGCAGAAGGGGUUUCAAGGGCAAGAACAUGUGCAUAGGCAACAUCUCUAACAUCAACCCAGCUACAUGUUGCCUUAGGAAAUGGUUCAACCCCUGCAUUUGGCACCUAAGAUCUUUAAACACAUUUUUUUGCAGGCUCUUCAGCAACAUAAGUGAAACUGUGCAUACAAUUAAAUACAAUGUUGUUUGCCAUGAAAAGAGUCAAAUUUAGAGGCCUUCCAGAAGAAAUGUGUUGUAUGUACUACUUUGUUCUGUUUUAGUAUCAGCAAAGCCACAGAGGGGAGGGAGAUGUGAGGAAUGAACUAGUUGAGACAAUUCAGAUAAUUGGUGAAUAAUAAGAAAGAUUAAUCCCAACAAUCUACUAGCUAAUCUGUCCCUGGAAUUUCUCAGAUUUAGAGUUAGGUUUCUCUUUCAAAGGAUAGUUUAUUUAUUUAUGUGAGGAAUAAACAAGCUUUAGCAAGUCUGAACAACAUAAACAGUGACUACUCCUAACAAAUUUUUCCUCACAAUUACCACCCAAAAAUUUCUUUUCCUUCCUGUUAAUCACAUAGAACCUCAAUGUUGUUGAAAGGAAGAUGCACACAACGUGAAUUUCAGAUGAAAGAUUGUCCUGCAAACCUUUAAAACAUCAUAAGCUGGUCAGAGUUUAUAGCUUGAUAUAUCAGUUCACAUUCUGACCUAUGUCUGUCAAUCAUGUGAUUAGCCAGCAGUGCCUUGAAAUGUUAUUAGUCAUAAGUUUUUUGUUCUACUGUAACAAAGAAAGUUGUGGUGCAUAAUAAAGCUAUAACUAACAUAGAUGGAAGAGUCAGUUAGACAAUGAUUACUAAGGUGAUUCAAUAAAUUUUGAAACAAACCCUUUAAUAGGUUGAGGAACAAAACAGCGCUCGAAUUAACAGAUGGCUGCAAGAGAGGACCAAUGACCAAUCCUGGAUGAAUUGUAAUCACGUCAAUGCCAUGAUCCUUUGCAAAUUUCCAUGCAGCAUUCUCGGCCAUGGUUUUUGAAAGUUCAUACCAAGACUAUCAACACCAAAAAAUCAGUAAAUGUUGGUAAGAUGGUAGCAGAAAGUAAUUAGAUUUGUAAACUUUAAGAAGUAACAUUAUAAAUUUAUACAAAUUUGACAAAACCAGCAGCUAACAUCAGUUGGAACUAUUAUUGCUGUAGCUACAGACCACAGAGUGAAAGUAUCCUCAUUUCCUAGGACAAGCUAUGCUCUAAGUGAAUAAGUAGAUUUCUCAAGGAUCCUAGCAAUGGUGUAAACUUUUUAUAUUCAAGGAAUGAUGCAAAGCACCAGAGUGUCGACAUAUCCUGAUCAUCUGAUCUCUUAAUCCACAAGUUAACAGCAAAACUACAAGGGACCUUGACACUUGAACACAUAGAGCCAUAUUCAUGAUAUUAUAGCAGAAGUUCCUUUUCAACUGACCAACCAAAUAUUCUAGGUGUGUAUUCUCAGACAAUAGUAUAGAGUUUGAUAAUGCAAGAGAUGCAUAAUUGAGUAGGAAAACUUUCAUAUUGCUCUUUCCUCGACUAUUCCACACUACAUUAUUAAUUUUUCAUUAAAGUUAAGUUGUUACUUAGAUAGAAGGAAAGAAAGGGACUGACCAUUCUGGUCACAAAAAUAUCCUUCUUUUUGCCUAUUAAAGUACCACCAAGUCAUGAAGAUCCUAACUUAAUUAUCUCCACAGCUGGGCUAACUCCUCAUAUGUGUCCCAAUAACAAGUUAAAACUAAAGAAUUCCAGCAUUCCAUAUUAGAUUUUACUGGAAGAAGACAGAUAAUAUGUGUACCUUUUGCUCCUCACAGUAUGAUGGAUCGGAAAACCAACUUUCAUCAACUACCACAUCCUCCUUUAAUUCUCUGUUUUCUGAAACUGCAACCAUAGAGGAUGUUAUAACUACUCUUUUGACAGAAGAAGAAUUUGCACAUGACCGCAGCACAUUCAGUGUUCCACUUACUGCAGGUUCCAGUAGUUCUGCCUAUGAAAUCAAACCAAGUAAAAAAGGAAGUCAUUACCAGUCAUAGGUAAGACUAUGCUUUUAACCUGCAAAAAACUUAUCAUUCUGGUAUUAUGUUUGAGAAUUUCACCACAAAUGCUGUAAACCUACAGCUUUAGUUACUUAGCUAAAGGAUGCAUAUAGUUGUCUUAUCUCCUCUUGCUGCUAAAAUAAGUUCUCAGGUCCUUUAUUGUUGUUUUUUCCCAUAUUAGUUACUUAAGACCGAUAGAGGAACAACUGAAAUAAGUCUCAGAUGUGGUCACCAAUUAAACCGUUUGGUACCAAAUAUCAACCGAUGAAAUUCUGUUCUGGCUUGAACAGGACAGACAGAAAAUAUAAAAGGUGUAGCUCCCAUGAAUCCUGCGAACAGAUUUUAGCGUGAACACAUAAUGCAUGUUGCAAUUUCUUUUAGUGUCUAUGAGUCAACCUUGUUCAUUGAAAUGACUAAAAUCAAAGUUCUACAAAGUUACUUAAAUAAAAAUCCAUAAACACAAUUUGAGAAACAGACAAUGAUAAGUGUACUGCAUAAAAUUUUAAGGCACAAUCAUUAAUAGAAGUUAAUCAACUUACAAAUGAAGAUACAUAUAAUUUGCAGAUGCUUGAACAUAUAUUGUAGUUUCUAUAAGCUUCUUAUUCAUUCUGGUAUGGGCACGCAAAAGCUAUUGGCUCUACACUGGCUGAAUAAUUAGUUGGUCAAAGCAGGGAUUCAUUUGCUCCAGGACAAGCUUAUAGCUUGCUCUAUAACCUUACCCUGACUGACUUACCCAGGAAAAUAGUUAGUCGGACCCAAUCUACUGCCCAAUUGUGGACCAUUUGCUAUGUUUAUGGCUCUUAAUGUUUUUAUUUCACAACAUUACACCCUUUGAAUUGUUUCUCUGAAGUACCAAUUUCCAGAUCAUUUCAUAGAAACAUCAUGUAUACUGAUUAAAAAGAGACUAAAGCACAUAACACACGACAGUCUUUUUUGUGAAUGACCUGCAGGAACAGAUUAGUUUUGUAUGUACCAAAUGUAAAGAAAUAUUCUUCAGGUGUUUGACCUGAUUGCUACAUUAAUCUCCUCCCUUUGGUUAAUAAAAGAAAACGUAGAGCCAUAGAAUUGGAAACAUGGUUCGCCAUCGCGGGUCGCGGUCGCGUCACGGUCUCAGUUGUUCCACAUCCGUCGCGAUAUAUCGGUUGAAUAUCGGGUGAUACGAACAAUAUAACACAUUAAAGUUUUCAAAAAUUUUGAAAAAAUUACUAAAAUUAGAAAAUACUAAAAAAGACACAAUUUAAAAAAAUAUCGGAGUCGACUCCGAGUUGACUCGGAUAUAUCGGCCGAUAUCAUGCAUCACGAAUUCGAAUCGAUCAAUAUCGGCCGAGUCAGAGCGAGUCAUCGCGGAUAUGGUGAUAUCCGCGAUUCGGGGAUCGGUAUCGUAUCGGUCUCUUCUGUUCCAGAUACGACUCGGCCGAUACGUAUCGGUAUCGGCCGAUAUGGCGAACCAUGAUUGGAAACAUUUGAGUCUAACUCUUUUUUUUUUUGCCUUUACAGUUAUAACCUUGUCAUAAAUCACAUAUAGAGGAGUAGACUAUCACCCAAAAAAGCCAGUAAAAAUGCAACAGAGGAAGAUACUAAAAGAAGUCGCACAAUUAUAAAUCAGAAAGUAUGCUACGAUUUUCAAACUUCAAGAGAUAAAUAGCAGAUUUUGUAGACAGUAGAGAAUUUCCAAUCUUGUAAAGCAAAUGUACCUCUGGAUUGCUGAAUGAAAGUUUGAUUGGAGAUGCAGUAUGGAAAACCCCUUCACAUCCCUCGACUAUUGCAUCAAACGAUCCCUCUUCUAGUAAGUUUGCCGAGUACAACUGAAGCCUUUCCUUAGCUCCAUCAAGUGAUGUCAAAUGUUGUGUCCUUUCCGGAUCAUCUGUGUCAUGAUUGCAUCAGUAGAAUGUUCAGACAGCUAUAGUCAAAACCAUGCCGCCUUGGUAAAGUGUACUAUGUUUUCACUAUGGCGCAACUCAAGAAGCAAUGGACUUAGAGCAAUAAUAAACGAACCUCAAAGCAAUGAUAAAUUUGACUAGCUAAAGGCAAGCGGGGAAAAACGAAAAGAAAUUGACGGGCAACAUAAUAUGACCACAAUAAUAUCAUAGCCCUAUGAUUUCUGGUUUUAAGAUGUGUACAUUUGUAACUUUCUUGAUAACAAUUAAUUCUUGAGAUAAUUAUCAGAGGGACAAUUGUAUGCCAUCUACCACUAUUUUUAUAACAAACUCAGUCCUUCAGAAGAAGGAUAUAGAUUCGAUAGGCUAAAGAUUUUUUAGUGUAACUUGAUCGUUGUAUCUGGAGCAUGAAACAUUACUGUUAAGGUAUACAUUAUAUAGUUUCAGCUACUCAAAUAUCAAUUAGGUUGGUCCACAUCAAUUUUUUUUUUUUGCAUGUGAUUUUCUUUUGAGCAAACAGAACAUGGGGAGCAUUUAGCCGUUGCAAGAAUAUCAUCUGGAGCUACAAAACAAUUUCACACUGCAGAGUUGAAUAAAAAUGUUGGGCAAAUUACAUAUAAUCCUCCUGUGGCUUUGUUUGUUGCCACAUGACCCUUCUAACAUUUUAAAAUAUCCAAUUCACCCACUAUGAUUUUAUGUAAAGCGGAAACUUGAUGGAGAAUAGCCUAUAUAAUGUCGUUAAUUGAAAUACCAUUAGUACUUUUACUUAAAUGCUAAAUCGACAAUUUAAUUACCUUCUAUAAAAGUAUAAGUGGAUUAUAUGGAUAAAUAUAAAAAUCACAGGAGGGAUAAAGUGGACAAUUAUAUAUAAGAGAAUUACAUUGAAAUUAAGACUUUAUCACACGCUUUUAGAGCGCGUUUGGUAUAAAUGCCGUAACUAAUUGUGCAUUCCAUCAUUUUCCGCUUUACAUAUAACUAUGGGGGUAUGUGGCUAUUUUGAAAUCUUAGGGGACCAACUAGCAUUAUAUAAAAUCACCCUAAAAUAUAGUUAUAAGUAAUUUACCCUAAAAUGUUAGAUUCCAGGAGCAAUUAAACAACAAUCAGAACAGGGCAUCAAAAACUGCACAAGCCACUAAGAUAGUUGAUCAAGAACAAAAACUGGACUUACAGGCAUCUCGAACUGAACCUUUAACAGUAUAACCGCGCUCGAGCAGCAGCUUCACCAGCCAUGAAGCUAUGUAACCCGAAGCUCCGGUCACACACACCAUUUUCCCUUCUCCUGCUCCACUCAUUUUGUUAAUAUUUUUGUGUGUGAACCUGUCACCUGUUUGCCUUACUUCUGGACUUAAUGGAGGGAGGCAUAUAUGGUGUAUAUAUAGCUAUGGUGAAGAAGACGAAAGAUUGGAUAUGAGAUUACUGGGAGACUGGGGAGAUCCAUAUGUAUUCUUGCAAUUUGCAUGCAUCAUCGCUGACAUACGUAUGGUAUAAUCGCGUCACAUCCCAUUUUAUCAAGGUCAAUUGAUCAGUGUAAAAUAGAAAUGAACAAUAAAUACAAUGGUAAAUUACCUUCUACACCCUAUGGUUUGAUGUUUUAUCACAUAACUCCCUAUAAUUUAAAAACCUAUAUAUGACCCUUUCGUAGUUUGGGUUAUUGUGUCACUUUAGCUUGUUCUGUUAAAACUAACGGUCAAUAGUAAAAAGUCAAAUUCAAACUACUAAAUUGACAAAUUCACCAUUUCACUACUUUUUUUUUCUUGUUUUCCUUUUCUUUCUUUCCUUUUUUUUUCUUGGAAAGAGAAGAGAUGACUUUGAAAACUUGUAUUUUGGCUUACAAAACCUUAAUUGUUUCCAAAUACAAAAGAGACAGAAGGGAAAUAAAAAUAAAUCAACAAGAAACAAAAAAUAUGGAAGGUAAAGAUAUAACAAAUAAAUAAGAAACAAAAAAACACCAAAUCUUUUUUACUAUGAAUAUCAUUAUAGGUUUUUAAACCAAAUCUUUAAUAGUAUUUUCUAGUUCUUAUUUAUCUAUUUUUUAUUCCAAUUUCUUCUUUUUGAUGUUUGGAGGAAAAAAAAAAACAAGUAAUGAAGGGAUAAAUUUGUCAAUUUAUUAGUUUGACUUUUUAAUAUUAACUGUUAGUUUUGACGAAAAAACUAAUAAUGACACAUUAACUCAAAUCAUGAGGGGGUUAUAUAUAGUUUUUAAACUAUGGGGGUUAUGUGAGAAAAUACCAAACUAUAGAGGUUAAAAUGCAAUUUAGCCUAAAUCCAAAAUUUGGCGGUUGCAUAUGAAAAAAUAACAAGGUUCUUGACUUUGCUCAAUACAAUUCCAAGUCUAGAGACACAAUUUUUAAAUUCACUACCAGGAUAAACCAUUCUCCUUUUUUUUUUCCAUUUUUUCGGGUUAAAAAGUACAAACUACUUGAACUAGAAACUAGUCCUGACAAAGUUUGUGGGUUUUUUGCAAGAGUUUUAGUUAAAUAUUGGUUACUUCGCCUAAUUUGCACCUAUUUUAUCAUGUAAAUGCAUGCACACUUUUAAAAAAUAAUGCAUGCACUUAUAUUAUUGCCUUUCUUACAUUUAAAUACUUUUUUCAAUUUAAUUUUACUUUUCUGGCAAAACUAAAUCUGAAGCCCAUUUCAAGAAAUAUCCACCGAAUACCAGGUCAACAAACCCCCUUCGUAAUAAAGAACGAAAAGGACCGCAGCGGUCUUUAACUUUUUUUUUUCUGACAUUUUCUUACUGAAGUAAGAAAACUGGUCCACACCCUUGAACACGCAGCGGUCUUUAACACGCAGCGGUCUUUUUGCAUCUAAGAAAGCUUUUGAUUGGCUAGAAAUCCUUCUCUGAUUGAGAAAUGGGAAUUGACUUGAUGAUGGCAACUCCAUUUAGAAAACUGGUCCACACCCUUGAAUGUGGUUUAAAUUUAAUAACACCAUUUCAUCAUUUCUGACGACUGCUUCUUCUAUAUCCUAGCUCACUGCACACGCCAGUCGUGUGAAACUUGGCAAAAGAGUUGCACCCUCCGUCCUAAAAUUGUCUGUCGCAUUUCGAGAUCCAACUUUUUAAAAAUAGCAUGAUGAUGAUAUUUGUAGAUUUGUUUUAAAAAUUGUCAUCAAAAAUUCAAAUUUUAAAUUGAAUUUAGUAUGAAAUAUAGAUAAAGAUUGGAAUAACAUUGAAAAAAAGAGAUGAAAAGUUAUUUUGAUUUUGAUAAGAUGAUAAAUAUUUUAGAACGUUUCAAAAUAAAAAAAAUAUAUGACAUUUUCAAUGAAACAAAAGGAUGGAGAGAAUAUAUAUAAGAUACUGAAAACUAGCAUCCAUCAGAAGCAGUCAAAUCAAAGCCAACAUAUUACUUGUAGUUUGGGUAGCCCAAAAAUUUAGCAAAAUAAAUUAGGAAAUCAAGUGCGAUAGAGAGCUCACUGCACACGCCAGUCGUGUGAAACUUGGCAAAAGAGUUACACCUCCAUCCUAAAAUUGUUUGUCGUAUUUCGAAACCCAACUUUUUAAAAAUAGCAGCUUGAUGAUGAUAUUUGUAGAUUUGUCUUAAAAAUUGUCAUCAAAAAUUCAAAUUUUAAAUUGAAUUUAGUAUGAAAUAUAGAUAAAGAUUGGAAUAACAUUGAAAAAAAGAGAUGAAAAGUUAUUUUGAUUUUGAUAAGAUGAUAAAUAUUUUAGAACGUUUCAAAAUAAAAAAAAUAUAUGACAUUUUCAAUGAAACUAGGAGAGAAUAUAUAUAAGAUACUGUAGUUUGGGCAGUCAAAUAGCCAACAUAAAUUAGUAGCAGAAACCAAGUGCGAUAGAGAGCUCACUGCACACGCCAGUCGUGUGAAACUUGGCAAAAGAGUUACACCUCCAUCCUAAAAUUGUUUGUUAUUUCGAAACCCAACUUUUUAAAAAUAGCAGCUUGAUGAUGAUAUUUGUAGAUUUAAAAAUUGUCAUCAAAAAUUCAAAUUUUAAAUUGAAUUUAGUAUGAAAUAUAGAUAAAGAUUGGAAUAACAUUGAAAAAAAGAGAUUCACGUUUCAAAAUAAAAAAAAUAUAUGACAUUCAAUGAAACUGAUACUGAAAACUAGCAUCCAUCAGAAGCAGUUCAAAGCCAACAUAUUACUUGUAGUUUGGGUAGCCCAAAAAUUUAGCAAAAUAAAUCAAGUGCGAUAGAGAGCUCACUGCACACGCCAGUCGUGUGAAACUUGGCAAAAGAGUUACACCUCCAUCCUAAAAUUGUUUGUCGUAUUUCGAAACCCAACUUUUUAAAAAUAGCAGCUUGAUGAUGAUAUUUGUAGAUUUGUCUUAAAAAUUGUCAUCAAAAAUUCAAAUUUUAAAUUGAAUUUAGUAUGAAAUAUAGAUAAAGAUUGGAAUAACAUUGAAAAAAAGAGAUUCAAAGUUAUUUUGAUUUUGAUAAGAUGAUAAAUAUUUUAGAACGUUUCAAAAUAAAAAAAAUAUAUGACAUUUUCAAUGAAACAAAAGGAUGGAGAGAAUAUAUAUAAGAUACUGAAAACUAGCAUCCAUCAGAAGCAGUCAAAUCAAAGCCAACAUAUUACUUGUAGUUUGGUUAUAACAAUAUCUCAGCUUGCUGGUAGCCCAAAAAUUUAGCAAAAUAAAUUAGGAAACCAAGUGCGAUAGAGCAUAUUUCACCCAAAUAUAUUAAAAGUGAAAAAGAUUUAUUUUUAUUUAGUCAAUGUGAUUUUUUGCGUCCACAUGCCCAUAAAGCUCAAGGACCAAAAAGCCAAACAUACGAAGUGAAAAUGUGAAGAGCAAUAAUUUGAAUGCAAAUAAAAAAACGGGUAGAUGGAUAGAAAACCAUGUCGAAGGUCUCUUCUCUUUUGAGUACGUAAGUGGCAGCAAUCAAUUCCCAAAGAGUGGGCUCUGGAGUUGUUAGUUACGUUGAAAAAUCAUGAAGCAGAGUUGUUCGAGAUGUUAUCUUGGGCUAUUUGGCUUGGGAGGAACCAAAAGCUGCAUGAAGAUAAACGAGUGGACCCUUUGAGUUUAGUUAGCUUUGCUUCGGGUGCGCUCCAACAAUUCCAAGAAGCUAAUGUUACUCAGAAAUGUCCAUCCUUAUCAAAUCAAUCUCACUUGUGGCAACCUCCAGGCGAUGGCAAGUUAAGGUUUAAUUUUGACGGUGUGGUGUUUAAGGAAACUCAAUCUAUUGGUUUAGAUGACGGUGCGGUGUUGAUUUAUCUAGUUUAGGCCCUCCAAUUGUGGACGUCACGAGGGACUUAACUAGUUUAGAGACGUCUAGUAUUUGAGGGAUGAGUAGGAAUCACAAUAAAAUCACUCAUAUAUUAGCUAAGAUCGCAAAAUUCAUAUGUGAUCAUGUCUUUUGGUGGAGAGAUCCUCCAGAGUUUGUUGUGCCAUUUCUAAUGGCGGAUUUGUUAGAAAGUUAAUGAAAGUUCAAUGUUAUAUAUAUAUAUAUAUAUAUAUAUAUAUAUAUAUAUAUAAGCAUAAAAAACAAGUUAUGUUGAGUAAGACGUUGGAUUGAAAAUUUAAGAUUUUUGGACUGAAAGUUCAAGAUUUUAUGAUGAAAAUAAAAGAUCACACUAAACUUAAUGGAUUUAGAUCUUAAUAUGUGCAAAUGCGUUUGAUAACUAAAAAUUGGGCAUCUGAAUUAAUUAAGUGCCACUGCAUUUUCUAAACAAAAAUUGCUCUAAAAAAAUAAGUGAUAAACUACGCAUUUAUUACUGAAUGUGAUAUACACUUAAAUAUACUUGAUCUAAUACUUAACAAUCUAAUAAUUUAAUGGAUUCAGAUUUUAGAUUUCAAUUUUAUCAAAGUACCCUAAAAAUAUAGACUAUAGAUAAAAUAACUGCAGAUCAUGAUUUAUGUUGAGUAAGCUUUCAAAGCUGCGUUUGCCAAAACAAACUUUAGAGAAUCAUUCUGUAAUUUUUGCUUUCACUCUAGAAGAUGCAUACAAUAAUGGGUGUAUACAAAAAUGGAAGUUAAAUUGAUAACACUAAGCUCGCCAAUUCUCAUAAAAAAAAAUGAUGACAUUGCCUGCAUUAAUUCUAGUAACGGACUGAAGACAAUAAUUAAUAGGUGACUAUAUGGUGCCUAAGGCACACAAUAAAAUGUGGACUUGGUACCAUUAUUUAUUUUUGUGAAAAGGGUAAACCUGUUUUGUAAGGUGUCGCAAUUCAUCAUCAUGAAAUGAGUGGUAAUUUAAAAGCAUUAAUAGUGAAUUCACCUUCAUUUUUAACGUUCAUAUCGGAAAGCCUAUUAAAAAAUUUCCACCAGCACAAAUUCCACUUUUAAUAGGUUCAAAAAUUCACUCACAAAUUAAUCCACAAAUCCCAUUAACAAAAAAAAAUAGAAAAAGCAGAAAGUUCUCAACGGAACUUCUAUACUGCGUUGAUGCACCGUACGUUGAUUCUGACAAAUGCUCUGCACUUCAUCUGCAGAUGUGACACGUGUUGGUUGGAGAUUACUAGAUGGGAGUGGGGUGCAAAGGUGGUAUUUUAGUAGUGGGUUUAAGCCCAAAAACCACCGGUAACAAUGGUAUUGACCCAAUUUCUAGUGGAAUUGACCCACAUAAAUUGUGAAAGAUUAUUUUCUCAGUCAUUUAAGGCAAUUUCUGAACAAGAUUUAGGCCUAUAAUAAAGAAAUUAAAGAAAUUAUCAACCCCAACCCCCAAUAUGCUAAUAUGCAAUUGGAAAAAAUUAAAUGAAUAUUUACUUGAAGUAAAGAAACGGAUACCAAUCGGUAGAAAGUGUUUAUAACAUACUCUGAAAUGCCAAAGGACUUCCCAAAAAGUGAGAAGCAGGACAACAUCUGAAAUAGGGUCCAAGUUUGAAGUACUUUAUGUCAAACAUAUUUCAAUAUAGAAAAAAAAAAUUUACCGGUUAGCAGAUGUUUGUGCGCACUAUUUGUUGAUUGGGAGACGGUUCUAAGGAGGCGGUUUUGCAACAAAUAAGUAAACGGGGUGUCGAUUACUUGGAGUUGUAUCUUAUGUUGGAAAAAUAAUUAGAUAUGUCAGUUAAGAAAUAUUUCAAUUUAAAUAAAGUUAGUUAGGAACUAGAACUCGUAACAUGGUUGGAUAUGGUUAGUGAAUAAGAUAUGAAUGUUGGGGGAUACAAUACAACUAGAAUUACUAAGACAAAUUAAGCUUGACACUUUGAAUUCAAAUUUUACUAACAUUGCAUAAUAACACCUUUGACUGAUAAUUUUUUUUGAUAGAAAAACUGGAAAAUUUUUAUUAAGAAGAGGAUAGAUCCGUAUUAAUUGCGAAAGAAAGAAAAAUUGGUGGAGAAAAUCUCCAACUAUAAAUACCUAAAAUAGAACUAGCAUUACUAUCUAAGAAAUGAGUAGGCACAAUUAGAUUCCUAGAAAUCCAAUCAGCCUCCCAAGUGAUGAAAUUCUGUAAACUAAAAAAGAUAUCAUCUAAUAGCAUUCCAUAAGCUAAAUCAUCGGAUUCUAUAUUUUUAAGCAUGUUGAUGAUCUUCAAAGAGUCACCCUCUAAAACAAUCUUAGGAACCUUCAACUGAAGUAACGAGGAAAUUGCAGAUAUUGCAACAUAGGUUUCAAUUACUUUAGGAGAAAAGAUACCUAAGAUUUUGUGAAAAAUACUAGUAACAAAUUUGUCCCAUUCAUUCCUCACAACAAUUCCAACUCUAAAGUUGUCGUCUUCAUAGAAUAUUGCACCAUCGAAGUUUGCCUUUAGAAAUCUUGCAGAGGGCUUUAUCCAAUGAAGUUGAGCAGUGGAAGAGCAUAUUGGAAUGUUUGGAAAUGUGUUUAUUUCAUGGUAUUUCUAUAAGAAAAUGAUAGAGAGGGAGAGACCAAACUGAGAGGAUCACGAGAGGAACCAUCAAAUAAUGCAUCAUUUCGGUUAAACCAUAGAUUCCAAAGAAUUAUGGCUACCAAUUCCAUGUCCUGCUUUUUCAAAAGAUGAAGAAGGCCAGACAACCAAGACGAAAUUUGAUCGGUAGAGUCUAAUCUUAUCUUUAGUGUAAGAAAGCUAAGGGCCCAAGGUUGAAUUGCUACUGGACAGCACAAGAAAAGAUGAUUAACAUCAUCAAUAGGGGCCUUACAUAAAGAACAAGUAGGAUCAAAAUAGACUCCACGACUGUUCAACUUGGAAGUUAUAAGUAGAAUGUCUUUGCAAAUUCACCACAAGAAUAUUUUAACUUUACUUGGUAUGUUGAGUUUCCACAAGCAGGGCCAAAUAUCAUCCAUAGAACCAUUACUACAUGAAGCUACAUCUUGUCAAUUUGUAGAUUAUAUUUUGAUAAGAUGAUAGGCAAUUUUCACUGUGAAGGAGCCAUUUUUAGAAUAGUGCCAAAUGAGCUUUUCUUGAUUUCGUCUAUCACCCAAUGGAAUACUCAUAAUCAACUCGAUCACAUCUAAGGAUAGCAACGGGGGCGGUGCCCGCGGGGGGCUAUUAGGGCAGAGGUUGGGGCGGGGGGUGGGGGGAAUUUUUCCCCCCAUUUAGAAACGGGGCAGGGGGCCCACCCGUUUGGAAAAAAAAGAGAGAUAUAUAUAUAUGUACAUAAUUAUAUAUCUAAUGAUAUUAUCAAUUAUACAUGUCUAUUAAUAAAAAUUAUUAAUUAUUUAUACUAAAUUUAUUAAUACAUUUAUAUUAAAUUCCUAACUACACUUAAUACAAUAACACUUUUUUCUAAAAAAAAACACAAUAAUAAUUUAGUGAUUGUAUUUGUAUCAAAAGUAAAAAUAAUUAUUUUAGUUAUAUUGGUUUUAUCAUAUUAGAUUGUAUUCAAAUAACUUUUGUUUAAUUAUUUUUAUGAGUUUCAAUUGUAAAGUUACAAUGAAUAAUAAUUUGGUAAUGUGUUGAUAUUUUAGUACUUGAUUACUUGCUCAAAUUUAAUUAUAAUGAAAUUAUAUAAUAAUUAUUUUAACCCCGUGGGGGAAGCGGGGCGGGGGCGGAGGACGGGACGGGGACGGGGGGAAUUAAUAGGCAACGGGGCGGGGGUGGGGGAGGGGUCACCCCUAAUCACAUCCUGCCAAAAAAGCUCUUGAAGCAAAUCAUAUUUCCAUUUCCUGCUAUUUUCAUCAAUUAAACAAUCUAUAGUGGAGAUUUCUAGUAGCACAUCAAAACGAGAUAUAAUUUUGAAAUUAGAAAGACGUGGAGUCCACCUAUCUUUCCAAAUUUUGAUAUGAUUCCCGUUUCCAUCUCACCAUCUACUACCAAAAACACCUUUGAUUGAUAACUAAAUAGUUAAAAAAAUAUAUCUACUUAUUUUGUUUACUCAACAGUUAUGUGAACUAAAACAUAAAAAAAGAAGGUCAAUUAUUAUAUUAGUGUUAUAUUUGUAAUAUUAGUUCCCUAUAUAGUAGGUUGCCGAGUUGGGCAUAUUUAUAUUCUACCAAGUAAAUGCCCUAUCUUUUCGAAACGUGGCAAAAAAUUUGUGUUUGUUUUUUUGGUAGAUUUCAUUCUUUUUCUUUUUUGGUAACAAUUAAUUUACUAUUCAUUUUCACUUCAUUAUUUAUAGUAAAUUUCAAUCAAUCAUCAAUUACUUACCCUAUAUGCAUUUCUAUUAAUUAUACCUUUAUUUUUUUCAAUCAACUUAUAGCUUUCCUUUUUAAUUAGGCACUCGUUAAUAUAUAUAUUAGGUGUUAAAUUUUUAGAAAUAUAAGAUGAAUUAGGGAAAGCAUAUAAAUGUAAGGGAAUUAAUUAGAAAAAUAUAUAAAUAAAAGAAAAAGUAGUAAUUGUUACGUAUAUACAUGGCAGGUUAGAUGGAAUGCAGGUGUGUUAACGAUUACCCAUAGGUCACCCAUUAGAAAUACUCAUCAAAAUUUGGAUUAAUUUUUUUUUCCUUUCAUUGCAAUCAUUACUACCAUUUUUCCUAUUAUUUAUUACUAUACCUUCAUGUUUCUAAAUACCAAUAAAUGUAUUACUCUCUUACUUUUUAUUUGAUUGUGCUAAUUAUAGCUUUCCUUUUACUUAAUCAAUUAGUCAAUCGAUCAAUCAACCCAUGAUUUUAAUUCUCUUUUCAAUCACACGAUCUUUCUUUUAUCCAUCAUUAGGGAGAUUUACAAUUAGUCACAUAUUUGUUAUGUGUACAAUAAUUAUGCAAUCAUAAGCACAAACUAAUGCAAUUUUAAUAAUUUUGCAUAUAUGCAUUCAUAUUGUAUUGCAACACCUUUAAUAAUUCAUUAUAUGGUUAGAAAAGCCAAAAAAAAUCGAGUAUUACCUAGACCUUAGAUAGUCCCCAAUGUAUACACUGAUACUGUAUGAAAUGAUUUAAAACCCGUUAAUAUAUAUACUGAUUGCAUAUGAAGAUUCAUCCCUAGUUUAGACCUCUUAGAUAGUUUGCAAGCAUUAUAUUCCCUUUUUUUAAUUUCUUAUUUAGUUUACCUUAUUACCAUUUAUGAUUUUUUUUUUAAUUUAAGCAACAUCUUCCAAUAUUUUAUCACCAUUUUAAGUUAGUUCAUUUUUAGGAGAUAGUAGUAUAAGUGUGGUAGUUUGUCCAAAUAACUUUGAAUACGCAUAUACAACCCAAAAACAAAAUGAUAGCUGUUUAUAUUCUUAUCACUCAACGAUGAUAGUGUUAUGUAAUUUAAAUGAUUGAGAUCUAUCGCCAUCCAAAUAUAAAUUUAAUAUGAGGGUAUGAUAACUAAAAAUGACUAUAGAAUCCCCCUAAAUACUAAAUAAUGCGAAUAGAGAUAUUCCCUCAAAAACUUGUAAAGUACUUAAUGUGUAUACGGGUAAAUUCUUGCAAUAGUGAAAGGAAAAUAUCUUACUAGCCUUGAAAUUUUGGCCCGUGUACUGACUUUUGUUAGCUAAAUUAAACUAUCUUGGAGUGAAGACAUAAAAUCGGCGGCAAAUAUUGAGAGAAUUGUGAACAUAGCUAACUUAUCUAGCGUACACAUUUUUUUCCGAGUUUGAAUUCUCUCACUUACACUACAAAAAGAAAAAACUAUCAUACAUUUAACUUCCAACUAACAAUGAUGUAUAGGUAAUAAAUUAUAUGCAUGGGAUAUUCCCAUAAAUAAAUGAAAUAUAUUUACACGACAAAGAGUAAAUUCUUAAAUUAAGAAGAAAUAAUAUUAUAGUAGCUGUCAAUUUGUUUAUAUGACUUUUUGGUUUGUCAUUAUUCAUGACAACCAAUUAUGUUAUUUUGAUGUAAACAUAUCCAAAAACGGUUGAAUACAAUGUGGGACAUUAUUAUUAUUACUCGGAUACCUCAAUAUUUAUAAAAUUGAUUAAAUUGGAAUCCAAUUGGAUUCAACAGUAUUUUGAAAAAACUAUUUUUGUUGUUCAAGUCUACAGUGAUAAACUUUAAAAAUAACCUCAAAAAUAAUUUAAAAAUACAACAUAUCUCAAAUACAUUAAAAAAAUAAUUAAAAAAUUUCCCUAAUUCUUCUUCCCCACACUACCCACUACAACCACCACCACUACCCAUCACUGUCCACUACCACCGCCAUCACCCCCACACCCAUGACCCUCCUUCCUCUCUCCUCUCUCUCUCUUUUUCUCCCUUUCUCUCCUCCCUCCUUCCUCUUAUUCUCCUUCUCCUUUCUCCUUCCUCCUCUCCCUUGUCUUUCCUCCCUUCUCCCUUCCCUUUCCCCACCCCCUAAUCCCCCCUUCCCUCUACUGACUGUGGGCUUCUUGGUCGUGACCAGAAAGGUUGCAGCUAGAAGCCGCGACUAGUGGCUUCUGGUUGCAACCAAGAAGGUCACAGCUGAGGUCUCAGAUGGAGUCGCGGUUACCAUCCACGAUUAGGAGAGGGGUUUGAGGGUCGGAAACGAGAGGGACGGGGGAGAAAAGGAGAAGAAAGAGGAGGGAGAAGGAAGAGGAAGGGGAGAAAGAAAGGGAGAAAGAGAGGGAAAAAAGAGGGAGAGACAAGAGAGAGGAGGGAGGGGGUGAUGGCGGUGAGUGGUGGUGGUGGGUGGCGUAAAAUUUUUUAAAAAUACCCCAAAAAAGUUGUAAAUUAUAAAAAUAUCCCAAAAAUGUAUUUUAAAAAGCCCUAAAAAUACUUUUAAAAAACCCCCCAAAAACAUCUAUAAUACAAGUUAUUUAUAUAUAUAGUUACCGUAAAGUUUUUAAAAGAUACCCCAAAAGCAGUUAGUCCAAAUGGAGUCUUGAGUUUUGAGGUUAAGGUGUAAUGAUUGACCACAAUUUAGGUCAAAGUAAAACUUGGCCAAAAGUUUAGUGGGUUAAAAUAUAAUUUUAAAAAUUAAUCAUCUUCCCUGAUCCUCACAGUUGCAAUGGUGAACUGUCAGCCCCUUAGGACGCGUUCUAGAUGGAACGCGCGCAACCGUGGUAGAUUUCGGUCAGUCAUGGUCAAGUUGGAAGGCUGAAGGUGAACUGGUGGGGAAAAACUUGGACAUGUGUUUGAUGAUGUAUUCCAUACCUAUGUAUGGGUUUGGAAAAGUUUCAAGGCUAGGAAAUGUCUCUAAAUUAGUGGGGAAAUGAGGGGUGUCUCUACUAGCGGUCCGAAAUUUUUAGCUAGGACUACUAUAGAGAGGGAUAACUAUAACUAAGCCAAGUCAAUACCAAGGGCUGGGGGCUAAGGCUUUAUGGGUUAUUUCGGAUGGUUCCAAGCAUUUGGAGCCGUGGUGCCUAAGUUGCUAAGUGUUGGGGCAAGUUGGGCACGGAACUAAGCAAAUGGCGAGAAGCUGGGUGCGCGAAACUGUGUGACCAUUGCCUAUGCGCUCCAAAGAUGAACGUUGGGACUGUCUGGCAGUUGCUAGUCGUUUGCUGGAGUUGCGGAUGGUUAUCAGUCAACUCAGACACGUUCUUAUCGGUUUCCUGACUUCAUGUACAUUCGGGUCGGACCAACGGUUGGGUCUUGUCAACUAUAACAAUGCAUAUAAAUAAAUGGCUAGGUAAGGUCUAAAGGUAGAUAGUGAGAAACACCCUUAGAUGUUCUGCACGCCAAAUGUUUGUAGAAUUGUCCUUGUAAUCUCUAUAGUGAAAUACAAGGUUGGCCGUUUGGUUGUAACUUGUGCAUGUUGUUCCUUUGUUUUUGCCUAAGUAUUCUAAGUUGAAUACUUGUAUGCAAGUGUCAAUGUAAGGGCUGACUGGAAGCGCGGCUUAUCAAUGUCAUUACAUGCUUGUUAGGCUAGCAAGCGUAAACACCUCGUAAUAGUUUGGUAUCAAAGCACGGCUUUGAUCUAUUAGACUGUGCUUUUGUUAUGUGUUUUGUUGGUUAAUGAUGGUUGGACACAGGAAUUCUAUUGCAAUGCUAGGAAUGGUUGCAAUGUUAGGAAUUUGCAUUUGAGGACUUGAUGCAGUGUCUGGGAGAUGGCCCAGAAGGCUUCAACGUCAUAGAAGUUCUAUUGCAGACUAGAGAGAUGAUCAACACCCUGACUGCACAGAUGGAUGAAACCAAGCAGACAGUUUCUUUCGUUGGAGAUGUUGAGAUACUAAGGAAUGAAAUGACUUCGUCCCAUACAAAGAUCGUGACUUUACAAUCGAAGAUCAAUGUGUUAAAGAAGGCAGUCGGCUCUUGUAACACACAGACCUUUCAAAAAUCUUCGAAGGGAAAAGUGAAAGUCCUAGAUCCGAAACCGUACCAAGGUAGUAGGAGUUCUAAGUAUUUGGAAAACUUUCUGUGGGAUUGUCGAGUAGUACUUCAAGGCUAUUGACAUUCCUGAAGUAGAAAAGGUAUCAAUUGCAUCAAUGUACCUUAGUGGUGAUGUAAAGUUAUGGUGGAGAACAGUGCAAUCAGAUCUACCAAAUCCAAGAUCGGCACUUGAGAAGUACUGAAGGAGGAAUUGAAGAAACAAUUCCUUCCCACGAAUGUUUCAUGAAAAGUUAGAGGUGUAUUGUGAAACUUGAAGCAGAAUAAGAGCAUACACGAGUACUUACAGAGUUCCAAGCCUUGAUGUUAGAUGUAAGGGAAAUGUCUGAGGAAGACAGACUCUACAUCUUCAUCCAUGGACUUCAACCGUGGGUACAGAUGGAGUUGCAGUGACAAAAUGUUCAGACCGUGUCUCAAUCACUUGCUACUGUCGAGAAGUUGAUAGACUUCAAGUCCAUAGGAUCCAAAAGUGAAAAAAAAAGAAGGGCAAGGAUAAGGCUAAGGGCUCGAAAGGUGGUCAAUUCUCAAAGAAGAAUAAAAAGAAACAGACAGUGACAACGACCGAAACUAGCGGUGUUUCCUCUUCUAAGAAGAAGCAAACAUCCAACCCUAAAAAGGAUGGCUGCUAUACCUGUGGAAGACCACACUUAACUCGCAAUUAUCCAAUAAAAAGGACCAGAACAUUAGUGCCUUGGUGGCAGAAGGCAAUAGUGACCAGUUGGAGGUCCAGGAUGCACGGGUCAACCCCAUGUAAUUCUUGAACGCCAUCACAGAUACUAAUGUCCGUACUCUUUACAAUGGUUUGAUGUAUGUGCAAGUUACAUUGAAUGGUAACCAUAUAUUGGCGAUGGUUGAAACGGGAGCAUCAUAUAGUUCUAUGAUGGAAAAAGUGGUGAGUCGGUUCCGGUUACAGUUGAAAGACUUGGGUUUCAAAAUUGAAGGCCGUAAACUCUAAAAUCAAGCCAGUGCUAGGCAUGGCGACUGUAGAAUUGGAGUUGGGGCCAUGGAAGGGUUGGUGCAAUUUCAUGGCAAGUCAAUGGAUGAUUUUGACUUGAUUCUAGACAAAGAUUUCAUAGUUGCAAAUAGGAUCUAUCCAAUUCCGCACUUGGAUGGCGUCAUGGUGAAUGAUGGCUAGAGUCCAGGCUUUGUUCCUGCAGUAAAGUUGCAGAAACAAAAGAACAAUCAACAAAAGAACAUGGUAUCAACGAUAGAGAUUGAGUCAUAUCUUCUGAGGCGUGGUGAAGUUGUGCAUAUUGCUGCAUUGGUGGAAACCAAACCUAACAUGUACCAGGAAGUACCCAACGCCAUGGCCCAUGUUCUAGAGAAGUUUACAUAUAUCAUGCCUGCAGAGUUUUCGAGAUAGCUUCCUCCAUCCUGUGCUGUGGAACACAAGAUCGAGUAGGUUCCAAGAGCCCAACCACCUACCCAAACUUCUUAUCGCAUGUCCCCGAUAGAGUUGGCUGAGUUGCGAUACCAACUUAAUGAAUUGCUAGAUAGCCAAGCGCUGAGACCGUCAAAGUAUCCGUACAGUACUCCAGUGUUAUUCCAGAAGAAGGCUGACGGAACGCUGAGGUUCUGUGUAGACUAUUGUGCCUUGAAUAAGAUCACGAUAAAAAACAAGUACCCAUCCCAAAUGUGUACAACUUGUUCGACGAGCUAGUGAUGGCACGAUUUUACACUAAAAUUGAUUUGCGGUCUGGGUACUGGCAAGUCUGAAUAGCCCCAGGAGAUGAGGAAAAGACGACGGUAGUGACGUGCUAUAAUUCCUUUGAAUUUCUCGUUAUGCCAUUCAGUUUGACGAAUGCACCUGCUACCUUUUGUGGACUAAUGAAUGAUGUCUUGUACGAUUUUCUUGAUAAGUUUGUCAUAGUGUACUUAGAUGAUAUUAUUGUGUAUUCGAAAUCCUUGAAGGACCACAUAGAUCAGAGGGUAGUAUUCUGCAAGUUGAGGGAAUGCGAACUCCAUGUAAAGCAAGAAAAGUGUGAGUUUUGCAGGGAGCAAAUCAUUUUUCUUGGCCAUGUAUUGAACAAUGGUCGGAUCCAGAUGGAUCACAGAAAGGUUGAGGCGAUCCUUGACUAGCUUGCACCCCAGAAAGUCGCAUAACUAAAGUCAUUCCUUAGUUUGGCCAACUACUACAGGCACUUCAUCCAGGGAUACUCAAAGAUGACCUACUAAAGAAGGAUAGACUGUGGCUGUGAGAUUAUGAGUGCGAAGAUGCAUUCAGAAUGCUGAAGAAAGCGGUUGCUUCUGUGCCAGUGUUGCAACUUUCGAAAGCUUUUGAAGUGCAUACUGAUGCUUCAGAUCGUGCGAUUGGAGGAGUACUUAUGCAGGAGAAGCACCCGAUUGCAUUUGAAACUAAAAAGCUGAAAGAAUGCGAGCAAAGAUAUAGUACGCAUGAGAAAUAAAUGACAGUUGUUGUGCAUUGCCUCAAGAUAUGGAAGCACUAUCUAUUAGGAACCAAGUUUGUGGUGGUGACUAAUAACAUGGACAAUAUUUACUUCAAGACACAGAGAGAGUUGACCCCAAAGCAAGCUCGUUGGCAAGAGUUUCUGGCUGAGUUUGACUUUGACUGGAUUCAUAAGUUAGGAAGGGAGAAUGCAGUGGUCGACGUACUUAGUAGAAAGUAUGUCAAAGAAUACAUUGUUGUGCUUAGUACUGUUGAGACGGACUUCGGGGACAAGAUUAAGUGGGAGUCCCCGAGUGACCCAGUUUAUCAAAACUUGGUGUUCGUGAAGUCAAAGUUCGUCGUUAUUGGCUGGAGGAUGACUUACUCUUUGCCAAUAGUGGUCAAGCAUAUGUUCCAGCAGGAGGGGGACUUAGGCGAAAGUUACUACGAGAGACUCACGAUGCUUCUUGGACUGGUUAUUCUGGAGUUGAACGAAUGCGGGCAUUACUGUCGCGUAGCUUCUAUUGGCCAAAGAUGGAAGAGGAUAUUGAAGCAUACGUGAAAACUUAUCUUGUUUGUCACCAAGACAAGGUGGAGAGGAAGAAGGAGUCAGGCUUGUUGCAGCCUUUGCCAAUCUCUGAUCGACCAUGGCAAUUAGUUUCUAUGGACUUCAUUUCGAGAUUCUCUAAGGUCGAUGGUAUGGCUUUUGUCUUUGUAAUUAUUGACAGAUUUUCUAAGUAUGCUGUGUUUGUUGGUACACCAAAGGAGUGCUCGGUUGAUGUUGUCGUUGAGUUAUUUUCAAACAUGUUAUGAUGUAUUUCGGAUUACCCAAAGAUAUCAUAAGUGACAGGGACAUGAGAUUCAUAGGUAGAUUUUGAACCGUGAUGUUCAGGUUGCUAGGUUUCAAAUUGAAGUUCUCAACUGCCGCAUAUUCUUAGACCGACGGACAAACGGAGACGAUCAAUACCUUGUUAGAAGAACACUUAAGGCAUUACGUGACGACAAGUUAGAAAAAUUGGUUGGAGUUGCUGGAUGCUGCAUAGUUUUACUACAACCUGCACAAGUCAUUCGCAACUAAGUUGAGUCCAUUUGAGUUAAUGAAUAGGCAACAACCUCUGACUCCACCUGAAGUUGCUCUUCAAGAGAUAGUUUGUUGAUGAUACAACAACGCAUGAAGAAGUACGCAAACCAACAUAGAUCGGACUUAGAGUUCCAACUGACUCCCCAGAUUUGAAAGAAAGUAAAUAACAAGACAGUCCAUCGUGGGAUCAUCCCUGAGUACAAUAGACCAUUUAAGGUAAUCAAGAAGGUGGGUCAUAUAGCUUAUCGUUUGAAACCACUUGACAAGCUCAAGAUCCACCUGACCUUCCAUGUGAGUUUUCUGAAACCCUUUUACCAAGACGCGAUGGAUGGAGGACGGAGGCAAGCAAAGUGUGCCCCGCCAGUGAUUCGUAAGAAAUUUCAGAAAGAUGUGAAGGCUGUGCUGGAUUACAGAAUGAUGGGACAAAGAAAAAAGAAUAGAUGGACAAACUAUCUGAUCCAUUGGAACGGUGAAACAAAAUUAGAUGCUACUUGGGAAUGGAAUGUUACCUUGUGACAGUUUCAAGAUAAGAUUGCUGAGUACUUGAAGAACGUGCGAAAGCAAACCAAGUUGACGAGGGUGUCAACCUCUUUAGGUGGGGUGGUUUAUUAGCCCCUUAGGGUGCGGUCCAAACGAAAAGUGCACGACCGUGGCAGAUUUCGGCCAAUCAUGGUCAAGUUGGAAGGCCGAAGAUAAAUGGGUCGAGAAAAGUUUGGACACAUGUUUGAUGAUAUUUUUCAUGCCUAUGUAUGGGUUUGGGAAAGUUUCAGGGAUAGAAGAUGUCUCUAAGUUAGUGGGGGAAUGAGAGGUGUCUCUACUAAUGGUCCGAAGUUUUUAGCCAGGACUACUAUAUAGAGGAAUAACUGUGACUAAGCCAAGUCAAGGCCGGGGGCCAAGGGCGUGGUACGACUAGACUUUGUGGGUUAUUUCAGAUGGUUCCAAGCAUUUGGAACCGUGGUGACAAAGUUGCUAGGUGUUGGAGCAAGUUGGGCACGAAACGUAGCAAAUGGUGGGAAGCUGGGCGCGCGAAAUCGUGCGACCGUUGCCUGUGCUCGGAAAGACGAACGUUGGGACUGUCUGGCAGUUGCUAGCCGUUGUUGAAGUUGCGAAAGGUUACCAGCCAACUCAGACACGUUCUUAUCGAUUUCCUAACUCAUGUACAUUUGGAUUGGACCAAUGGUUGGGUCUUGUCAACCGUAACAAUGCCUAUAAAUAAAUGGCUAGGCAGAGACUAAGGGCAGAUACUAAGAAACAUCCUUAGAUGUUCUGCACGCUAAGUGUUUGUAGAAUUGUCCUUGUAAUCUCUAUUGUGAAAUACAAGGUUGGCCGCUUGGCUUUAACUUGUACGUGUUGUUCCUUUGUUUUGUCUGAGUGUUCUACGUUGAAUACUUGUGCACAAGUAUGAGUGUGAGGGCUGACUGGUAAUGCGACUUACCAGUGCCAUUACGUGCAUGUUUGGCUAUCAAGAGUAAACACCUCGUAACACGAACACUAGUUGCCUAUCUUCAACCACCAUCUAACACUUCUUUUCAAGAUCAAUUUUUGCCCAACACUCAUUUUAUUCGCUUGAGUCAUGAUUAUGGCAUCAUUUUUCUUCAGUUUAAACCCUUUGACGAUACAAAAAUAAGGUCAUAAUUGAAAUUCUGAUUCGAAAAUUUGAAACUUUCGGGAUUGCCUUCUGCUAUGGGCUUUUCUCAAACUCGAUCAUAUGCCCAAACAAAUUCAUCAACCAACACUCACUUUGCCUUUGGGGCAUCUAAUUAACCCCUUUAAAACAAUUUUGAAGACACCUGAAACUAGGGUUGGGCAAAAAUACCUGUUAAUCCAAAAAUCUGCCACAUCCGAUUCGAUUCGAUUCAACAAAUAGGGUUCCGGUGUGUAUUAUUUGAUCGAGUCAAAAGAAAGUUGGAUAAUUACUUGUAUGCGGUGUUAGUUGGAGUCACCUGAUUAAGAAUCCGUGGGAACCCGAUUCUUCCCACAUAUAUAUUUUUUAUUUUUACACACAUAUUACAAAAUAAUACUUUUGGAGGUAAAUAAGUAAUUUCAUUAAACAAAAUACAUUAUAAAUAUGAAAAAUUAAAGUUUAUUUAUAAGAUUCAUUUAUAGAUGUCAUGAUUUCUUUUUUUUUUUAAGGAAACAGUUUAAUUAAUGUAGAACAUAUAUUUGGAAAGAGGUAUUAUUUAUUUGAAUUUUCAUUGAUUUUGAAUUCUUUUAAUUUUCUUUUCUCGUAUUCUCUUUGCAUGUUCAUUUUUUUAUUGAGAAAAAAUCUUUAUUAAGUUUUAGAUGAAUAUUCAAAAUACAAAAUUAAAUUACUAUAAAUUAUUUUUAAAAAAAAUUAAAUGAUAACCAGCGUGAUGCAGAUAUCUGUUGACUCAACCCUACUUUAAUGGAAACCCACUCAUAUACGGGAUGGUUAAAGAUCAGAAGAUAGCUGUCUUGCAAGGUACGGGUCUAGUCAGCCAAAUGAAGCAUAGAAUGAGUACUACUUGACCUGUACCCACCCCUACCCAAAACAAAUCUUAAUAAUCAUAAAAUAGCAACUUGAACUUGCAAAAUCCAAUUUUCAAUUUUCUCCUCAAAAUUUAGCAUCAAAUUUUACAAAAAUUACACAAAAACAAUCCAAUCAACAAAUAAAUACUCAAGCACUGAAUUGACAUUACACUGUAUUUGUGCAGCACCGAAUUGACAUUAUUUGACUUGUAUGUAUGGCAAAAUAAAGGAACUAUGAAUAGGAUGGGGAGGAGGGAGAAGGAUGCUGAGAGUAAGGGAGGAGAUGAAUCGGAAAAUUUAGAUAUUUUUUUUUAAUUUUCUAUAUUUUCUAUUAACCUGAUUUAUAGGUAACUAGAGCUGUUAAUCGAACCGGGUAGCUCGCGAGCCGAGCUCGACCCAGCUCGAUAAGGGCUCGGCUCGGCUUGUUUACAGAGAGAAACGAUCCGAGCUCGAACUUUACUCAAUAUUCGUUUAAUACACGAGCCGAGCUAUGCUCGGUAGGUUCGAAGAGUAGGGGCAUUAACGUCAUUUCAUUGUGUAUGUGGUACGCUAACCUAAGUCAUUCUCUCGUUUGUAGCCCUAAUUUUUCUUUCCUCUUUUGGUCUUAUUUUCUCCCGUUCCACAGCCGUAGCCACAGUCGCACACCCACACCCUCCAUUUUCACCACCGUCACCGACUCACCAUUCACCAAUUCAUCCAUUAUCUCACCUCCAUCAGGACCAUCAUCUAUCCGUCCACUAUCUCACCACCAGGCGCAAUCCCUAAUUUUUUCUUUCCUCUUUCGAUCUUUCAUUUUCCCGUUCCACAGCCGCAGCCGCACCCUCCAUUCUCACCACCGUCACUGACUCACCAAUCCAUUCAUCUCACCUCCAUCACCAAUCCGUCCACCAUCUCACCACCAUCAUUCAAUCCACUUCUCGUGAAUCCGUGAGCAACGCCAUACGGAGCCACCUCGGUAAAGCCAGGGGCUUCUACCAUAUCCCGAUUCGCUGCAUAAUCUGGUAACCAUUUCUUCUCAAUUUUUGCAAUUUAUUUUGGUUUUAAGAGGUUGUGUGGAUUUUGGUUAAUGGUGGAUAGCCCCGUAUCCCGUAUGGCUUCCCCGUAUCCUGUUGGCUUCUUGUGUUUUAUCUCUGUGUUUUAUCCCGAAUUUCACCUGCACGGAUUGCUUAGGGACCGCUUAGUGGAUUUUUGGCUUCAAAUAGCAUGUCUUUUACCAGUUAAAUAGCCUUUUUUUUACCCAUUGUUCUGGAUUGUUGCAUAAGUGUCAAAUUUCGCCUGAAAUGCUCACAUAUUCUUUUAUGCGAUUACGUGCAUCACUACUGCGUUACCUUCCUUCGACACUUGAAGCGGGGUUUGAUGUUUCAUUUCGUUCAGACCAUGGAAUAGUUGCUGCGAUUAAACUUGUGUCUCUAAGAAAAUAAAGAAGGAAACAUCACUUUUUGUCUCUGUGCUCUUUGAUUUCUACAUUUUCUAAUCCAUGUUAUAGAACUGACUGUUGAUGAUACCAAACAUUUUGUUAAAAGAAAGCCAAAGUAUUCAAUUCCCAUACAUUUAACUCUUCCUGGUUAAAAUGUAACUUUCUCUAUUGAUGUCCAUAAAUUUCCUCGAAAGAGCUUGCGAAUUGCAAAAGUUUCCACCAGUCGUCUUAAAAUGGCAUUCUAAACCGUCUGCUAUGAUACUUCUGAUAAGUACCAUGGUUGUUAAAAUUGCGAUCCGGAUCGUAGGAUCGUACGAUCCUACGAUCUGGAAAGGCAAAAUCGAUCCGGAUCGCACUUAGAAUCGCAAACUCCUUGAAUCUACGUAGGAUCAAGGUAGGAUCGGUAGGAUCGCAUAGGAUCGUACGAUCCUACGAUCCUACUUCGAUCCCACAAAAAAGGGCUAAUUUGUGAAAUACAAGGUUCAUUUUGCAAGUAAAAAUCAACAUUUGGGGUAGGCUUGUAGUUUAUCAAGAAAUUGCAGGCCUUAGUUGCAAUGUUUUAACAAAUUUUGCCUCAAAGUCAAAAGGUUCCGUCAAAAAGCUUCGGUCUUCUUCAUCUUCUCCUCAAGCAGACCUUUGUCAUUUCUCUUCUCCUCUCCGCUGCCCAAAUCAAAUCCCUAAUUUAAACCAUCAAACCAUCUCAAGCUUCGGCUACAGCUCUUACCAAGACCAAGUACUAACAAGACAAAUUGCUGCGGCUUCUACCAAGAACCCACAAGCUACAGCCGACAGCUUCAAGGCUUCAAGCUUUAAAGCUUCAAGCUCCAGCAGCCAUUGCUUCGGUAAGAAUAUCAAGCUACGAAAUCCUCUGUUGCCGCUGGAUUUUGGCCGUUUCAAGCUUCAAAGCUUGAAGCUCCAGCACCCGUUCUUCUCCAAUUUUCGUGCUGCCAGCCUGCCACCACACUGAAGCUCAAGCACCAGCACUUCAAUUAAAGUCAUAUGUGAGUGUGGUUAUUUUCUUGCUUAAAAAUUGAUACUUGGGGAGAUAGUGAUUGAUAAAGUUGUGAUUUGUAUUUGGUUUUCUUGGUAUUUGAACAUAUAUUGCUUUUGAUUGAAUUGAGUUGAAGUUGAAGGGAAUUAUUGACGGGUCCAUUAGGAUUUGUGAAAUUUUGGUUUUCUUGCUUGAAAAUUAUUGACGGUUCUGAAGCACCAGCACUUUGUCUUAGGAUUUGUGCUCUCAGAAUCAUUAACGGGUCCAUUAGGUACACUUUUUUUUGCCUUCUCCAUAGGAAGCUCUGAUAAUCGAGACUCUGCUACCACAUAAAUCUUCCCAUUGAACUUGUUGAAGAAAUCAAAGUUAGGAGUAUUAUUAUUUUGUAAUAAUGAAUUAAUGAGAACUCAUAAAAUUAUUUAAUAUAACAUCGUUUAAAUCUUCCCAUUUUGUCAUGCAUUUUGCAGCAGUUGGACAGUUGAUUUUUCAACUGUUAUCUUUACAGUAAAACAUGUCAGUUGAUAAUUUUUCUUUCUGUUACAUGACUCCUUAAUAAUCUGUUUUCACAGGAUUGUUUUUCUGUUCUACUCUAGUCCAGGUUAUUCCUUUGACUAAGCUAUAUUAAGUUGUGAUCCCAAAGAUGCUUCAUGUACUAUAAGAACUCUGUACUGAUCUAGACAUCAGUACAGGGUAUGAAGGAUCACUAAGGACACAUAAAAGAAUUCCCUUUUCUGGUAGGACGCAUAGCAAAGUUUUAUUUUCCAGAAAAAUUCACACAAAUACAAAUGUUUGCUGUUCAAGCAUUAAUUUCUAAACUUCUAUUGUUGCUGCUGUUAUGUCCUUUACCUAUGUUUUCAUUGGAUUUGCACUCGGCCUUGCAAAAAUCAUUGGUAAUAAGACUGAAUUUCUUGUGCUGGUCUGGUCUGGCUUAUUUUUUGAAUGCUAGCUUUAUUUUCUUUUAUCAAGUGCUGGUCUGGUCUGAAUUUCUUGGUUUUUUAUGAAUAUUCUAAUAUAUUUGGCAGUGCUUAAAUGUCUUCAUCCGCUUCAAAGAAACAAAGUACAAAAAAUGCACCGGGUGCUCGAUUGGAUCCCGGGUGGGAUCAUGGAAUUGAAAUUGAUUCUAAUAAAAAACAAUUUCAGUGUAAAUACUGUGGAAUUACUCGAGCUGGUGGUGUGUAUAGGCUUAAGCAUCAUUUAGCUUGUACACAUACAAAUGUUGAACCAUGUCCUAGCGUUCCUGAAGAUGUUAGAACCCAAAUGUUUGAUUUACUAAGUGCAAGUUCUGAGGAAUCAAGGAAAAAAAAACAAAGGGUUAGUACCAUGUAUGAUUUAAAAGAAGAAGAAGGUGAAGUUAAGCAGCAGGCUAAAAAAUGUUCUAUGGACAACUUUGUUGUGAGAAAAUCUGGGGGGUUGAAUGUGAGACAAACAACCAUAAAUGAGAAAUGGAAGAAACAAGAUAGAGAUGAAGUUUGUCAAAUAAUGGCUAGGUGGUUCUAUACAAGUGCCGUUCCAUUUAAUGCUGUAAAUAGCCCAUUGUUUCCUUUAAUGAUUAGGAAAUUGGGAGAAUAUGGAAAAGGAUUUAAACCACCUUCAUACCAUGAAAUGAGAGUGACCUUUUUGAAAAAAGAGGUGCAAGAGACAUUGAAUUUGCUCAAUAUGUACAAAAAAGAGUGGAAAAAAAAUUGGCUAUACUAUUAUGUCCGAUGGAUGGUCUGAUCAGAGAAAGAGAACAAUGAACAAUUUUCUUGUGAAUAGUCCAGCUGGUACUGUGUUCUUAUCUUCGGUAGAUACCACUGAUAUUUCAAAAACAGCUCAAAAAUUAUUUGAAUUGUUAGAUGGUAUUGUGGAAAAAAUUGGAGAGGAUAAUGUUGUGCAGGUCAUCACCGAUAAUGCUUCUAAUUAUAAGGCAGCUGGAAAAAUAUUGAUGGAAAAGAGAAAAAGAUUGUUUUGGACCCCUUGUGCUGCUCAUUGUAUUGAUCUAAUGUUAGAAGAUUUUUAAAAGUUUGAUUCUCUCCACAAAGUUACUAUACAAAAAGCGAAAUCAGUGGUUACAUAUAUUUAUUCAUGGGGUACAGUUAUUAAUUGGAUGAAACAGUUCACUAAUGGCAAGGAGUUGAUUAGACCUGGAGUUACUCGUUUUGCUACUUCAUACUUGACCAUGAGACGUCUUAGCGAGCUGAAAGGGAAUUUGUUUAACUUUUUCUGUUCGGAUAAAAAGAAAACAAGCAUGUAUGCUAGGAGAAACAAGGGGAAAAAAAUUGAGAGCAUCAUUUUUGAUAAUCAACAAUUUUGGCCAAAUGUGGAGUUAUGUUUAAAGAUAGCUUCGCCUCUUAUCAAAGUAUUGAGGAUGGUUGAUUCUGAUGAAAAACCAGCCAUGGGCUUUCUCUAUAAAGCUAUUGAUCAGGCAAAAGAAGAAAUCAAACAAAAUGUGAACAAUAUUCGAAAGAGGUGAAUUUUAAAUAAAUUGUCAUAUUAAUUAUGAGUUCAUUUAUAAUUUCUGUGUUGGAUAGUAGAAUGAAUUUUUUUAGUUAUUUUUUUAACCAAACUCAUGUUUAUGUGCUAGAUUUGAAUCGGCAUUUGCUAUCAUUGAUAAAAGAUGGGAAGAUCAAUUGAGUCAUCCUUUACAUGCCACGGGUUAUUAUUUGAAUCCUCAAUUUCAAUAUAGUCCAGAUUUUCAGUCGGAUGCAAAUAUAAAACGUGGCCUUUAUGAUUGCAUUGCUAAGAUGGUUCCCGAAUCUGGUGAAAGGGUGAAGAUUGAUUUGCAAUUAGAUGAUUUUCGACAUGCAAAUGGAUUAUUUGGUCAUGAAAAUGCUGUACUAACAAGAAACAAGAAAUCUCCUGGUUAGUUACUAGUUGAACUUUGUGUUUUUAUUUUUAAAACCUUUACUAAUUUGUUAUUUAUUUUAAUUUCCUACAGCUGAUUGGUGGGAAUCUUAUGGCGAUGAGUGUCCAGAGUUGAAAAAUUUUGCCAUUCGAAUUCUCAGUUUAACUUGUAGCUCUUCUGGAUGUGAGCGAAAUUGGAGCGCAUUUGAAUUGGUAAUAAUGUUUUCAUAUAAUAUAAUAUCUCAUUUAGUAUAAUAUUUUGUUUAGCAUUUGAAUUUAAGUUCGUAGUAUAACUGUAUAAGUUCUUUCAAUUUCAAUAGGUACAUUCUAAGAGAAGAAACCGUUUGGCUCAAAAACGAAUGAAUGACCUUGUGUUUGUGAUGUACAACUUGAAGUUGAGAGAGAGACAAAGGCAAAGGCAACGUGUUAUUGAAGAAAUUCCUUUUGAGAAUUUGCCUUCAGAUGAUGAAUGGGUGACAGAGAGAGAAAAUCCAACUCUUCCAAGAGAAAAUAGCUGGUUACGAGUUCUAGAUGACAAUCCCAAAUGUGACACUUCAGAUGAAGAGGGAAAUGAAGAUGAUGAAAUUGAAAUACUUACAAGAAAUGUGCAGAGAGUUUGUAAGUUUCUUUCUUUCUUCCAAUUUAAGUAUAAAGUUUAUCCUUUUUUUUGUUUUUAUAGUUUUAUUUUUCAAGUUCUCUUGUUUUUGGUAACUUUCAUUAUUAUUGUUUGUUUAUUUAGAUGAUCAUGAAGAUCGUCAAACCCAUGUCCGUCGAAGACAAGUUAAUAAAAUGAAAGAGAUUCAUGUUAUUGAUGAGGAUGAUGGGCCUUCAACUGAAUUCGACCGCCAAGAUGAUGAUUAUCUUGAUAUGGUUCCCGAAACUGAUCUUCAAAUGGGAACUAAUGAUUUGGAUGAUACUAAUUUGGAUGGUGAUUAAGAUAAUGCCGAAGAUGAAUUCCAAGAGAAUUGGGAUGGUGAAGAUGAUUGGGAAAAUAAUGAUUUUGAUAAUAUGGAUUAUGGGAAUAAUGAAUUUGAUUCAAACGAUGAAAAUGAUUGGUUAUAAAUUAAUGUAUUUCUGAAUUAUUAUGAUACUUGAAAAUGAUGAAUUGUUGCUAUUUUAUUUUUUAUUUUUUCAUGUUUGUUUAAACAUGACAGAUGACAUUCUAGUAGUUAAUUUUGAUCUUGAAAAUCUUUUUGGAUGUUUUGCUUUUUAGUAUUUGUGAAGGUUGAUGAUUAUUUUAUAUUUGAAAUUAUGAUUGUGUAAACUGUGAAGCAUUUGAUUUUAAGAUUUGAAAUCAUGACAGAUAACAGGUUUACAUUCUCUUCUUUAUUACUUGUCAGAUAGUAAGUAAAAAAUACUAUAUAUUUAUGAGUAACUUAUUUAUUUGAUAUCUUUUAGGAUGUACAAAAUGAUAUAUGAAUUUCAAAUUCAUUAAUUUAGUAAAUUUAGGAGUUUUUGGUAGGAUCUUACGAUCCUACGAUCCGAUUCUGUGAAACUAAAAUCGAUCCGACGUGGGAUCCCGAUUUUACAAACCUUGAUAAGUACAGUUAUACUACCAGGAAGGGCAAGUAGGCAUGCAUCAUGGACCAUGAAAAUGCCAAUUUUCAGAAAUCAAUUACAGCUUUGAUGAGCUGCAAACUUCUUGGACAAUGAAAAUGCCAGUUUCUAGCAAUGAAAUGAUAGCUUUCACGAUCUGCAACUUCUUAUUGAUUAAUGAACACUAAAAAGUACGUAUCAGCUCAAUAUUGCCUCUCUUCGUAGUACCUGGAAAAGAUGUAAUAGUCAACCAUAAGUGACAGAACUUUAACAGCGCUAGCCAUAUAACAAACAAUGGACAAAACUUUAAUAAAGCUAGUCAUCUUCUUUUCUUUAGCAUGUGAUAUUUCUUCAUGUUUUGCACUUUUGUUUAAGCUUGACAGUGAAAGCAUUUUUCAACCUAGAAGAUUCUGCAAGGCAAAACUUUCUUCAUUUUAGUUUCUUCAUUUCAGCAAAACUAACUUUUUGUUUGGAUUACCAUUUUAAGAGUUUUUCACUGUUAUUUCAUUAAUCUGAGUGCAAGCUUGAGAAUUGAGAUAGGAACAAGUUAAAGAAAUGUUAAAACUGGCUUGAAGUGGGCAUUAUUUCUUGGAAUCUGUUUUAUUACUUUUGUACCUUAUUUCUUAGAAAUGUUAUUCGAAAUUUCUGUUUUAGCUAAUCAGAAUCUGUAUUGGUUAUUAAAUGUGUUUUGACUAAGGAAUGUACAACUCUCCAUUCAACUCAUUUCAAGAUUCAUCAUCAAGUCCUGUGAUGAAGCAAAACAAUGAAGACGUGGAACAAUUGAACUACAACAAAGAAAGAGCUGAUGAGAUGAGUGAAGAAGAGAUAGAAAUGAUAGAAAAUGAGGGCAAUGAAAGAGGACAGCAAGAGAUGGAGAUGAAGGAGCUGGUCCUUUUGAGAAAAAACAAAGGAAGAAGAAAUCUAGUAUAUGGGAUGAAAUGACAACAAUAGUGCUAGAUAAUGGGACGGUCAAAGUGAAGUGCAACAAUUGCAAGGGACUUUUUGUCAAGAGUGCAACCGGAGCCACAUCUCAGCACAAGAGACACUUGAUUCUUGCUUACAAAGAAAAAUAGUCAUUGGAGAGCAAAGCAAACAAAAGCAACAAGUGCUGUCAUUCAUCGAAGGCCCAAGUAAUUGUAUCACUUCCAUCACAAAUUUCUUGUAUGAUCAUGCCAAGGUAAGAGAACUUGCAUCACACAUGAUUCUUGCACAUGAGUACCCCUUUUCUAUAAUGGAUCAUGUAGUUUUCAACAAAUUCAUGAAAGCAACUUCUCUAUUUUAUAAAAGGAUUAAUCGGCAGAUUGUUAAGAAAGAUUGCAUUAGUACUUAUACAAUUGAAAAAAGGAAGCUGAAAUCAUUGUUGAAAGGUGCUGGUAGGAUUAGUAUUGCCACAGAUUUGUGGACAUCUGGUCAAAAAAUUCAAUAUAUGGUUGUGACUGGUCAUUUUGUUGAUUUUGAUUGGGUGCUACAAAAAUAUUUGUUGAAUUUUUGCAAUGUUCCUCCUCCUCAUACUGGAGUUAUUAUAGCUGAUACUCUAAGUAAGUGCUUUAUUGAUUGGGAGAUUGAGAAUAAGGUUUUUAGCAUAACUGUUGAUAAUGCUUCAUACAAUGAUGUGUGCAUUAGGAGAUUUAGAGAGGAUUUUUCUCUAAAAAAAAGAUUAAGUAUUGGAGAAAAAAUUUUCAUGUUAGAUGUUGUGCACAUAUACUUAAUCUCUUAGUGCAAAAUGGUCUUGGUCAACUUGGUGGUGUGAUUGAUGUUGUUAGAGAAGGGAUAAAGUACUUGAACAAUUCUGAAUCUAGGCUUCUUGAAUUUGCCAAAAUUAAAAAACAGUUUCAGUUGCCCUCUAGAAAGCUAAUUUUGGACUGUCCAACAAGGUGGAAUAGCACCUAUUUGAUGUUAGUUUCGGGUUUAGAGUUCAAGGAUAUUUUUCCAAGAUAUGCAGACAUUGACCCCGGAUUUCACUAUGUUCCUACUGAUUUUGAGUGGAUGAAAGUGGAAGAAGUGUGCAAAUUUCUAGGAAUAUUUCAUGAAAUCAUUGAUAUGAUUUCCGGGUCCGAGUAUCCAACAGCUAACAUUUUCUUGUGGAGCUCUAUAGGAUUAAAGAGCUUUUAAAUGAAAAAGCUCUUGACCCUUUUUAGCAUAUUCGGGCUAUGGCUGGAAGUAUGUCUGCUAAAUUUGAUAAGUAUUGGGGGAAAAGUAAUGUGCUGCUAUCUUUGGGUGCAAUUUUGGAUCCGAGAUACAAAAUAUUUCUUAUUAAUCAUGCUUUUCCGGUGAUUUAUGGUGAGGAUGCAGCUCCUAGAUUCGUGGCUGAAAUUAGAGACACUCUUUAUGAGCUUUACAAUGAAUAUGUUGAUUGUCACAUUGUUUCCCAUUCUGAACAACAACAGAGGCAGGUUGUAAAAGGGAAACAAAAUGAAGGUUCUAGUUCUUUUAGUAAGAAACAGAAAAUGACUGGACCUGUCAUUUUAACUGGUAAAGAAAAGUUGCACAUGCAUGUGAGUGAAAUUAACAGGGCUCCACCAGAAAAAUCAGAUUUAGAUGUUUAUUUAGAGGAAAGUAAGUAUUGUGACGCCCCCACUUCUCCCUAAGACGAACCAAAAGAUAUCCACGGGACGCCUGCCCAACUCUUGCCAGGAUUCGGUACAAUUUCCGUUCAAACUUAUUACAAUACUAGCUAUCAAGACAAGAUAAAGUAAGAAAGAUAAGUCACUUCCAUAAAUAACAUUCAAACUUACACCAAGAGUUCCAAAAUACAUCAAAUUUCCAAAAUAUACAACUGUCAAAAGUCUAGUCGAUUACAUUUGGAACCCUAAUACAAAAGUACAACAAAAGGGUUUCUCCGAGUUUCACUCCAUGUCCAUGCCUGUUAAGAAAAAUAAAUCUACGGGGUGAGCAAUUGCUCGUGAGGCCAAGAAACACACAUAUAAGCACGUUGUCCAAUUAACAAGAAAAUGAUAAUAUUCGAGUAAUUAACAAUUCAAGUGAAAUGUAAAUAGAAACAAUUCAAGGAUAUGGGAGCUCUCAGGAGCUAUUGUCCACUGGCACGAUCAAGAACCUCCACGAGUUGACACUCCGUCAAUCGGAUAGGUCAUAGUCCGUAGAAGCUUCACUUACGCGUUCCCCGUCCACCAUACAUACCGCACCGGCCCCGAACGUCAUUUAUAAGGUGAUACUCCACGAGUAUGCCAAGUGAAAUCUCUCCAAUAGAUCAAGUUUAUCAUAUUAUUCUCAUGACUCACCAAGAUUCCCGACCAAACCCAUGCCAGCUCGAUUCCCAGGUCAGUUUAUGAGUUUGGGCGUCCCCCAUGUAACAUUUGUAAGUCGAGGAGAUUCACUCCAACGACGUAUACAGCCAUAGCAUACCAUUUCAUGCCAUUCAAGCAUUCGAUACAUUCAAUCAUUCAUUUCAUUUCAAUCAAGUCAUUCAUGAUCCAUUCAUUUCAUUUCAAUUAAUUCAAUCAUGAGUCAUUCAUUUCAAAUGAAAACGAGUGCGGUAAAGUACACACUGGACUCCAUUUUCAAAAUCUCCAAUCAUUAAUAACAGUUAAGCAUGUAUCAAGUUCACAUACACUUGACACUCACCAAGUAAUUCAAGAAGUAAAGCACAAGCGGUUGUUUAGGCGUCUCCUGUGAGAUUUUCUUGAAAGUCCUCUUGAGUGCCUGAGCAAUAAUAAUGAACUAUUACACACUAUCGUUUAAAACCCCUACUUAUCGAGAAAGAUUGCACUCGUGUACAAUCUAAGAAGAUAUUAUGAGAAUGAGUCUUAAUUACUUGUAAAUCGAGGCUCAAAAGUGGGGUUUUAAUAAUACAAGGAAAUUCGAUUUUCAUCUUUGAAAUCAAGUGUAAAAUGAUCAAGCAAUAUCGAGGAAAAUGGUGAGUUCUCAAAACUCAAUUUCCUUUAAAUUCGGAAAUUUCAGAUUUGACAAGUAAUCUUUGAAAAAUUGUAUCUCACUUUCUGUAGGUCCAAAAUUCGAAAAAUUGGUACCGUUGGAAACUACUUCUAAAGUACUAAAAGUUCCUAGAAGAUAUUUUUCCAUGAUUCCAAAUGAAUGACAUUCAAAAUUUGGCUCAAAGUUGCUGUUUCGGGCUACCAAGACAGUUUCGGGGUUGGUUUUUGCCAACUUUGAAAAUUCGGCAAAAUUCACAAAAUGUAAACUAGCCUCUGUAAUUUGGAACUCAAUUAUAGUUAUAAACAAAGUUUAAAACACAACAAACAGAACAAGAAUCGGAGUUUUGAGCGCCAAGAUAUAGCAGCUCAAAGUUGCUGAAAUUUUCUCAUUGAAUAAGGAUUUUCCAGAUUUGAAACAUGAACUUUGGGAUUUCAGUUGAGCAUCAAAAUGAACUUGGAAUGGCACCAAAUUUGGUAGUAUUACCCUACCAUAGAAGGGCUAUUCCUCUGUCAAAUUUCAUGCAAAAAUUCGUACGGAAGGUCAGUUGACAAAGCCGCUAAAAUUCCAAGAAUUUCCAAGGCAAAUCUGCCUUGUACUUCCGUUUUCCUUUUUCAAGCAUUUGGCCAAUGAAAUCUUCUCAAACAUGGUUCAUUUAUGAAGACAAGGUCUAAGAAAUAUCCAAAAUGUGUUUGGUAGGUGAUUAACACCAAGAGUUCCAAAAUAACGAGUCCCAAUUCGAGUUAAGGCAUUCAACUAGCCAAGAUUAGGGUUUCCUUUCACUGACACAAGUCUGGAAUUCGGCCACAACUCAUUCAAUUCAACUUGGAAUUGGGCAUGGUCAGUGGUGUUGGAAACUACAUUCAUAGGGAUACAAUUUCUCAGAAGAAAUUGUUUGGAAAUUCUGUCCAUAACUAGUUCAUAUUCGAGCAACAAGUUGCAGCACACAAUAGGUUUUCUAACACAGCCGAGAAACAGGGCAAGUGAAUUUGAAAGGCUGGUACGGCUCACUCAAGUGGAAUCAGGGGAUGUAUUUUAUACUGUUAGAAAACUAGAAGUGUCUAGUUUCUAAUCCCGCAAACAGCACUCGAUUUUGACGUUGGAGCAAAGAGUUAUAGUGGUUUGAAAUUCGCUGCCAGAGCAACUCUGGACACGUUUUCCAGCCAUGAAGAAAUUUCGAAAUCCAAACAUUUACCCAAUCAAAUCAAGUGAUUUUUGGUGGAAACUUUCCAAACAACCUAUAAAACAUAUAUACACCGAAAUAAAGUCAAUGGGACCACAAAAAAUUGCACCAAGAGGCGCGGCAAUGACAGGGCAGAUCUGGCCCUUCUUCCAUUUCAACUUCCUUAGAGUUUCUUUCCACUCUUUCAACUUAAAUCCACUAGAUUAACACUUAAUUAACAUAAAUAACACUCAAAAUCAUCAAAUCAGAUCAUCAAGUCCAUUGUGGGAUUUGAUAGAGUCCACUCACAUGAUUUUUAAUAAUCCAAAGCUACCCGCAUGAAGUUACAAGUUUCUAAGUGUAAUCUAACUUACAAAAGCUAAGAUUUAAAGGGUGGAUGAUCAUUACCUCUUAGAUGUUGCUAGAGCAGAAAUUUCGGUCCUUAGAGCUCCAAGAAAACCAUGAGAAUGAAGCUCUUCUCCUAGCCCAAGAUGGUCUCCAAGUUAUUUGUAAGGUGUGGUAUGAAUUUGAGAGGAUUUGGUGCAAGAUUGAGAGAUGAAAUGGUGAAGAAACUUGGUCUUCUUCUCCUUGGUGUUGCACAGCUGCUUGAGGGAGAGAAAGAGAGAGUUGUGGCUGAUGGAAAGCUUCUCUUGGAAGCUUAAGAGUUUGCGGUCAAAAUUACUCCAAAAGUCAACUAAGAAUAAUGCGCGCGUUUCGUGCUCGUUUCCUCUCGGCUUUGUUUUACUUGUGCACUAAAUCUCUAAUGCACUUCCAUUCAUACUAUUAUUAUUCACUCUUAAUAGUCUAAAAAUAAAGGUUUAAAGUCCCUCAAUUAAUCGCGCGUGCGAAAAUGCAGACUUCCGAUUUGUGCGCGAUAGAGUAAAAUUUCUAAGAAAUUCUUACAACGAUAUUAUAACUGACUAGUACUUGAGUACUUAAACAUAAAAAUACCUAUUUUGAAACUAAUGUAUGAGUCUUCAAUCUCCAAGCUCACUGUAUUUUCAAAUCGAUUAUUGUCUCCAAACGCGUAUUCACUAUUCUCACUAAACGAGUUUUCAAAAAUUAAAUUUUUGCAACAAGUAAUUUUAAAAAUAUAUGUAAGUCAUAAUUCCAUAUAAUUGAGUCUAAAAAGGUUGGAAUAAAAUAUUUGGAGCAAACGGGCAAUUAAAUAUUUAAAUAAACUAGUAAUAUGAAUUUAAAAUAAGUAAAUUUGUGGGUCCUCACAGGUAUGCUUGUGAUACAAAUGCAAAUCUGGAUGUUUUGGGUUGGUAGAAAUAGGAAAGAUUGAGAUUUUCUAUCUUGUCGAGGAUGGCUGCCGAUAUACUCUCCGUUCCUGUUACAACUGUGGAUUCAAAAUCUACCUUCAGCGCCAGAGGUAGAGUAAUUGAUGAUCGACGAGCUUCUAUGUCAAUUGAGAUGGUGCAAAAUGUUGCUUUGCGGCAACGAUUGGAUCCGCAGUCUUCAUGGCCUAAAGAAUAAGUCUCGCGUAAGUAAUUGAUUAGAUGUUUUUGUUAUUGUUACAGUUUCUUUAUAUCUGAUUUUGAAGAAUUUUAUAACUUUCAUACUUUUGUUUUGUAGGAAUCACUUGAUGCGACCGAAUUAAUCACAUUUGCGAAAGUUGAACUUCCUGAAUCAUUCACAACCUGAUUUGACGGCUGUUGAUGUUGCUUGGUUCAAACUGAUUCAUUCACAUGUUGAUUUCGUUCAAAAGCUGCAUCGUUCACAAGUUGUUUUCAUCCAAAAAAGUUGUUUUUAACUCUUGGUCUAGAGUUUAAACAUUUUAGAAACUGCUUAAAACGUAUUGAUGGCUGAUGUUUAAUUGUUUGGACUCUUUUAUGUAAUUUUCAUUUUGUAAUCUGAUCUGGUCUGAUGUCGAGUUUGGACAUUUUGUUCCUCCAUUUGAUAGUUUGAGCUGCAAUUUUAACUUCUUUUUCGCUACUCGUGCUUAUGAUGCUUCUGUUUUGCGUUGUCGAAUUGAGUGGAUGAUAUAUCAGGGAAUGUGUUGUUCUUUUUUUGUCAAACUAAAUAUGAGUGUAGAAGAAGCUGAUAUGCUAUCUUCCGUAAACGAGCUCGAGCUCUUCCGUAAACGAGCUCGAGCUCGAGCUCGAGCUUCGAGCUCGAUAAGCUCGACUCAAGUUCAAAAUCAAGUUCGAUCUUGAGUUUCGAGCUUGAUAAGCUCGGCUCACUUUUUGUACUCGAGUUCGAGCUCGAGCUCGAAUUUUCUACAUAGUACAUCGAGUCGAUCUCGAACAGCUUGUGAAACUCGAAUUACUAAUCGAACGAGCUCGAGCUAGCUCGAUUAGAUGUUCGAGUCGAGCUCGAUUGUUAUGUGCUCGAGCUCAACUCGGCUCGUUUAACAGCUCUAAAGUAACAUGCAUCAAAACAGGCUUAUUCUCUUAGUACUUUUUUUUUCUUUUUAUAAAACACAGGUGCAUUAACGCACGACAGAAGCACCCUAUCAAUCUAAGAUCCCAGCUUGCUUGUAGCUUUCGAUAGAGUCAACAAGAGUUUCUUCCACUGGCCUAUACCUCCAGCCCAGCCUCUCCAAUUUUUCUGAGCUAAUAUUCCAUCGGCUUUGAUCCUUCACCUCUAUAAGUCUGCGAAGAAAUGAGUUAUAUCAAGAAAAUAUGCAGACAACAUAAAUGGUUCUUGUAGAGACUCGUAGAUGCCACACUUUUGGAAAUGGAAAUCAUGACGGACAUGAACAAACAAGAAAAUCAGGACAAACGGGGUGUCUGAAAAAUGAGACAAUUAAUUUCAAAGAUGGUAAUCCACCUC
rnacentral:lncRNA from 1 species